rnacentral:lncRNA from 1 species
UGUUCUGUGGAAGAAAUUGUUUUAGAAGGCCUCUCCCAACUCAAAACAGUUCCCUCUGGAAUUCAACACCUGGAGAAACUUAAAGAUCUCUAUAUCAACUGCAUGCCAACUGAAUUUGAGCAGCGCAUUGCUCCUGAUGGAGGAGAAGACCACUGGAUCAUCCAAGAUGUGCCCCGUGUAUGUAUUUGGAGCAGGGAUGCUUUAGAACCUUCGCAUCUAUUCGGCAGAAGUCAUCACUAAGAUGCGUCCAAAUUUGAAAAAUGAAGGUGCAUCUUUUUCACAUCUAUAACUUUGUAGAAUGACAUUCGUGGCCUUUUUCUUUUCUUCAAUAAAAAAUGCAACCAUUAUUAUCUAAUUCCUAAAAUAAUUACUUUUGCCUCAUUUUCUCUUCUAGUAUUUGCUUCAUUUUUCUUUCUCUACAACAUCUCACGUACAAGUUAGGGAUAGAAUUGUCUAACAAGUAUAUGCCUACACCAACCAAAGUUAACGUUUCUUCGUCAUAAGAUUCUCACCAUUAUAAUCCUUUCUAUUAUUGUGCUCAGAAUUGGUAGAUGUUGACCUCAACUGGAUUGAGUUUUUUUAUUUCCAUGUUGAUAAGUACUCGAACAAUUUCAUUGUAUCAUUUUAAGAAGAAAUUAACUUGAUGUUUUUAUAGGGUCGUAAGCAUAUAUUUCGUGUAAAUGUAGUGGAUUUUUAAAGUUCCAUUACGAUAAUGUGGAUUUUUUUCAUAAAUUAGAUUGUGUUAAAUGUUCCUAAUUUUUAUGCUUUGAAGUUUGACCGACUUUGUACAAACAUGAAUUUUAGGAAAGCACCAAGGGAAGAUUGUAAGAGGUGUUCAAAUUCGUUCCAAUCUUGCGGUUUUUUGAGUGUUAAUUAUUACGCCCAUUUUAGCGUUAUUAACACCAACACAAUACGAAAAAGCUGAAAAUAGUAUUCCUAUAAAGGCAGACAAUUUUUGACAACUGGAAAACUCAGAUUCCCUCAAGUUCUUUCUUUUGCUGCCUGUGAAAUGGUGGAUGAGUGGAUUUGAGGCAUCAAAGUGCAAGAUUCAUCAAAUUAAUUUUUUAAGCUUCCUUCUUCUCUUUCUCUUUUUUUUUUUGUCUUUUUUCUAAAAUGCGUACUUAAAUUUUUGUUAACUUGAUGUUAUUUGAAUUCUUAUCGAUAAUUCAAGUUCAUUUCUUUUAAAUUGAUUGUUUGUCUUUGUUUUAAUUUAAUGCCUUUAUAAAUUGGCAUUUGGUCACUUAUAGUGCAUUGAUCGUAUAUUCCUAUCGACAACUGUGUGAAAUUGAAAUAAGGAUUGAAUUUAAUAUAUAAUGCAACAAGGUUGGAGAUUCUAUAGGAAUAAAGAUCAACAAUUACGAUAAUUUAGAUUUUCUUGAACCUAAUGAUUGCCCUAAUUGAAAAAUUCUAAAAAUUUAGAAUUUUCAAUUGCGGAAAAGAGUUUUUGAGUUAAGAUAUAUUCACCUUCAAUUACAAUAGUAAAUAAUAAAUUCAGUUUCCAAUUAUGCUUCUAGAACUUGAAUUGGAGUACGUGAAAAUUUGGGUUGUACAUGUUAAGCUUAGAAUGAACUCUUAGUGUAACAAGACAUGUUUGAUUUUGGCUUAGCACUUUAAUCCUCUUACCAUAGUGCUUCAGCAAUUUUGGUACCCAAACUUUUAUGUUCAGGUUUGAUCCCAUAUCUUUCAAAAACAUUUAAUGGUUCAAUAUAUAUUAUUAAACUCAAUUUAUAUAUCACUUAUCUGGAGUAAGAUAAAUUUUCAAGGCUUAAUUUUAUCUUUUUGUCUCAUUCAUUAUUUAUUUUAUUCAAUUUUGUCCUCCUAAUAAUAAAAUCUUUAAUUUGAUCGCUUAAUUCCAAAUCGAUUCAAUUUGAUCUCUUCUGUCCAAAUUCACUUAACAUUGUUUAUUAAUAGUGGGAUGAGAUUGAAUCAAAUAAAGGAACAAAUUAAAUUGUUUAUUAAAAUUGAAAAAACAGUGAGAACAAGAAGUUUAUUAAGGGGUCAAAUUGCACCGUUUUGAAAAUUAAAGUGCUAAGUUAAAUUGUUUAUUAAUAGAGGACCAAUGCUAAAUAAAUAGUAGGAUAAAAAAGUAAUUUUUUUUUACUUUCAAAAAAUUUGAAAAUUUUAUUGAAUUCUAAAAUAUUCAAUUAAUUUGCCUAGUUUUUUUUUUGUUUAUUCACUCUUUUUUUCCGUUUAAUCCUUGAUGUUUCAAAACUUCAAAACUCUUUUUGAUCACAAAUAUAUUUUAACUCAUGAAAAAACACAACAAUAUAAGUGCAUAUGAUGUAUGAAGAUUUUGAUGAUGCCAAAAAGAUUAAAGCUAUUCAACGUUGAUUCAAGUUAAGACAAGAAAUCAAGAGAAACAAUUUACAAUAGACCUUUAUAUGUUAAAAGAAUCUCUUAAAAAGGUUGCAAAUAUUUGGCCUUAAAAGACUUAAGCUUUUAAAUAUCUUAUAAAGUUUUUAAGUAAACAUUACAUUUUGAAACAUAUGUAUUUCUCCCUGGUAAUCGAUUACCAGAGACUGUAAUCGAGUAUCAGAAGCAAAAAUGGUUUUAACGGCUUUUAGAAAAGUUUGAAUUUGAAAUUUAAAAGUUACAAUUGAUUACCACUAUUGUGUAAUCGAUUACUAGUAACAGAAAAUUUUAAAUUCAAACUGAAAAGGCAUAACUCCUCAAAAUUAACUGUAAUCGAUUACCACAUAUUUGUAAUCAAUUACUACCAGUGAGGAAAUUUUGAAAAUAACUCUAAAAAGUCACAACUAUUUACAAGUUUUUUGAAAGAUCACAGAAGGCCUAUAAAUAUGUGACUUGUAUUCGAAAUUUUUCAGAGUUUUUCAGAACAUUCAUCGUCCUAUCCUCUCACAAGAAAACCUUUGAUCAAACACUUGCAAAAUCAUUAAGGAUGCUUAUAAGUUCUUCAAGUUGUAUCAUUCUUUUCUAAAAGAGAGAAAAAUAAUCUUUUGUACUUCAAAGUAAUCUGUUGUUAAUCAAGAGGCAGUGAGUCUCUUGAUUUGUAAAGUUUUUUGAAUACAAGGGAAGGGUAUCCCUGGGUGGUUCAGAAGUUGUAAAGGGAUUUACAAGUUAGUGGAAAUCCCAAGUGGAUUACUUGAGAACUGGACGUAGGCACAGGGCGUGGCCGAACCAGUAUAAAACUGAGUUUACAAUUCUCUCUUCCCUAAACUCUUUUACUUUAUUGCAGUUUAAUUUUACUUUGCACAUUUAAAGAAGCAUCAAGUAAAUUGAAGUUUAAUCAAUUGCAUAAUACUAAUCAUUUGCAUGUAAUUAGUAGAUUUAGGUAGAGAAUGUUUUAUGUCAAAUUGCAUGAUCAAACUAUUUGGGUAAUCUCUUAUAGAUUAGUUAAUCUUUAAUUAAUUUUUUCCUAUAAUUGAUUUUCUUUUGACUUAAAUUGAUAGAUCCAUGAUCAUUGGGGUAUUGAUAUAAGGCAAGGAGCAUCUUCUAACCUUGAUCAUAGACUUUAGUUCAUUUUGUGAAUUAGUAAUUAACUGGAGAAAGAAUUUUAUUACCAUUAGGAUUGAGGGAAAAUUAAUAAUAGUAAGUCAUAACCCCUGAUCACUCUUAUCAUUACUGAACCUUUUCUUUAUAUUCGUAUAUUUGUUUUCUUAUAAAACCAAAACAGUGAAAAUAUUUAAACUAUCCUUUUAAUUACUUCAACUGUUAAUUUAAUAAACUUAACUAAUUGGAAAUACAACUCGUCAUUUGGGUUUGAUAUCUGUGACACCUUUUACUCCAUACAUAUAUGUACUAAUAAGAAAAGAAAUAAGAAAUCAAACUUAAUUAAAAGUUUUUAAAACACAUUUAAAUACAAGCCUUUCAAGAGGGUAGAAGACUCACAUUCACCUUUCUAACAUCAAAAUAAAACUUGUUCAAAUAAUUAAUAAAUUAUUUCGGCUCAAAACAAGGUUGUCCAAGACCUCAUACAAUUAAUAUAGCAACUUAUGCCCUAAUGUCACAUCCUAUCAGAGCAUUGUGUCCCGACAUCUUUCAGCACAAGGUUCCUUACAACAAUUCACCUAGUCAUCUGCUCCCCCGAACAUAAAGUUCGAGAUCAUCACAGGAUUCAAACACAAACAACAAAGGGAGUGAGUUAUCACAUUCCUAACUAAUAGAGAAAAAUAAGACAACAUAUAGGUAUAAAUAUUAUAUAACAAAAUACAAUUUACUUGAGCAUAACUCACGUUAUUUCACCACAUAUCUCAUUCAUUUUCACAACAUUCGCAUACUCAAUAGUUCAAACACAAUAUCAUCAAAUCAAUUAAUAUAAAACAAUACACAAGCGUUAUGCAGCAGAUACACUAAGACUCAAUCCUAUAUACAAUAUGAUACCAUGUCAGUGAAAAACUCGCGGGUGCCUAGGAGUACAUGACAAGACAAAUCACACACUAGCAAGUCAAGUCACUCUCACUAGGUAAUAUCAUAGGGAGACCAGUCAAGGUCACAGUGUUUUGCGAGAAUGCUCCAACCAUAUGGGAUCAACAUAGGCUUAAAGGAGCACUCAAACUGGGUGAUCCCCAAGGCCUACACUCCGAAGAGUCCGUCAGGGCCUCUCCCUCCUGAUUCAGGUCCAACCCAAAAAAUAUUUUAGCACACAAACUCUAUCUAUGAAUUGUACAAAACACACGAGUCCUCAAUUGUUCUCAAAUAUUUAUAACUCGUCGCCCUUUAAGGGUUUAAGCAUUAACUCGUCGCCUUUAAAGGGUCUUAGCAUUAACUCGUCACCCUUAAAGGGACUUAGCAUUAACUCAUCGCUCUUAAAGGGUCUUAGCAUUAACUCGUCACCCUUAAAGGGUCUUAUAGUCGUGUGAUUGUACAAUCCGUAGUUUACAACUCAAUGCACACAACAUCUCAAUCACGUGCAUACUCAGGUUAUCACAUACACUCGAUCUCAAUUACAAUGGUAUAAUCUCAAAAUAGCAUGUUAUCAUCCCUCAUGAAUAAUAAUAUUCACUUUACCUAUGAACUAUGCAAUACAUACAACUACUCAAUUAUUUUCAAAAUCAUUUUAGCUCGUCGGGUUCCCACAGUGGAUCUCAUCACAAUACCCAUCGCCCUUAAAGGGUCUUACAAUUAUGUGAUUGCACAGUUCAUAGCUCACAACACAAUACACAUCUCAAUAUACAUGUAUUCUGUCAUUUAUCACAUGUUCAAUUCAUCACAUACUCACAAUUUGAAUCAUCGUUUCAUAUCCUCAAUAUAACAAUCUAUACAAAAGACUAUCACAACCUGGAGACUAAAACCUCUCAAAUAAUAUUACACAAUUAUAUCAAAAUCAUAGGUCAAAAUAUACAAAUAUCAAGAGCACAAUUUAUCAAGCAAUUCUCAUCAUAACAUCAAUAUUUUAUUUAUAAUCAUAAAGGAAAAAUUGCAAUUUAAUAAACAUCCCAAAAUAAAACCCCAAUUUAAUCCUCUAAGGAUCCCUACACAUGUUCUCACUAACCCCUAAUUGUGAAUAACUCAUCCCUUACCUCUAAGCGGACUCACAUGUUUUCCAACAGCGAUAGCGACAUCUCUAGUGGUUUCCUGAGAUUCCUCCAGCUUUUCCUCCGACUGCUCUGAUAAAGUUCCCAAACGUCAGUGAGACCUUGUGAGAUUUCUUUUUCUCUCUCCAUGAGUAUUAUCUCGCAAAUCCCAACAGUGAAGAUGUGUGUAAUUGAAUUUCGAACCACAUAUCAAAAGUUCAUGAAAAUCUAACGGUUAAAGAAACCGGGAUAGUAGUUUUACUGAGACCAUUUUGGGUUUCUGCGGGAAAAGAGAAAGCUAUGGUGUGAAGGGUAUUUCUCUUAACUCUGACAUGUAUUUCCAAAUCCCAACGAUGAUAAUUCUCGGAAUUGAGUUGUGAACAUGAUGCUCAAAUUUCACGACGAUCCAACGGUGAAUGCGUCCGAAAUCAUCGUUUUUCUGAGACAGGUUUGGUGGGCUGCGGGAAAAAGAAAGAGUUUUGAGAGGAGAAGAGAAAAAACAAAAAUAAGGGAAAGAAGAUGUACCGUUAAUGUGAAACUGACCUAACGCUAUUUAUAGUUAGGUUUAAUCUAUUUAUUUAUUUAUUUAUUAUUUUAUAAAAACAAACGCUAUUUUAUUCUCUAUCAAACAAAUAAAUAAAAUACCUUUUUUAUUUUCUCUCAAAUCAUUAUUUUAAUUAAUAAUUAUAUCUCCUUAUUUAUUUAUUUAUAAAAUCUCAUCAUUUUUCUAAAACUCUAUUUAUUUAUAAAUAACAAUUCUUUUUUUAAAUUAGCUUACGAAAAAUGGGAUGUUAUAAUAUCCAUACUUUCAAAACCACUAUUAUUGGCAUAAGGUACACUUAUCCCUGUGCAAGCCUAUCAUAUUUUGCACAUGAGGUAUAACAGACAUAUUGGACAUACAAGGAUGACAACAUGUAGCAUUUGCAUUUCUGGUUUUGGGAAUAAAAGAAGAAAUCUAAAAUGAAAACACUAAGGAGAUUUAUUUACCAAGGAAAAAUUAGGGGUAAAGAACAAGAAUGCAAUGGUACAACUAUGAAUUUUCCUAUUAUAUCAGUACACAACAUGAAUAAUCACAAUUGGUGUAGUUCUAUAACUAGUGUUGUAUGAUCAGAACAUGAAAAAAAAUACAACAAAUUUCUAGGAAUACAAAAAAGAAAGUGACAUUUAGGAAUUCCCUUUAAUCCAAGUAGGAUCUGAUGCCAGACAAAUUGUUUUGAUUUUUAUCAUAUGCGCAGUCUCUGCUAUCAAAUUGAUAAUAAUACUAACAACAGUUGAAUUAGUAAUGCUCCUGAUAUAUUGCUCGAAAACCUGCUCUUGAUGCCUGAUCAUCAUAAGUAUAGGAGGAAGUUGCAUUAUGCGGCACAUCAAAAUCCUCUCUAUACAGUGGUUGCAAUGCAGACUCCGGUAAUUUGCUCUUUGUACUGUACUGCUUCAUGGUAUUAAUCUCUGUGUUGUGUUUUCUUUCCAGCUUCUCAAUUUGCAUCUUCAAAUUUUCAUUUGCAAAGUUCUGUAUAACAUAAGAAUAAGAAAUGUGUUAAGACGGAACAUAUGCUCAUUCUCCUCAACCGCAGUUACUGGUUUUAAAGUCACAUUAUUCUCCUUUUUUUUAUUUGCAAUUUUGGCAUUUGAUAAUGAGGAGGUCCGAGAAGUUAGUGGAAUAUAAAUGAUAUAAUCCAUCUUAAGAACAUUCUCUGUUUCCUUUUUCCCUUUUAGCAGCUAAAACACCACCACAUAUUUCUUCUUCCACCACAUCAAGUUGUUGAAGUUUGCCGUGUGGCAACACCAACCAAUCCCUCCACCCCAACAUUCUUGUCUCUCACCUUCUUUGACAUACACUGGCUAAGGAUUCCUCAAACGGAGAGUGUUUGCUUCUAUGAAAUUUCCAAACUAUCCACUUUAUUCUUUGACUCCUCGAUUCUUUCAAAUCUUAAACACUCUUUCCCUCACACUGCAUUCUUUCGGAAAGCUUCAUUUAAAGGAAAACGCCCAACUCCUGACUGUACCCUCUGGCAUUCAAUACUUACAGAAACUUGAAGUUUUCAUUGUCUGGAAUAUGUCAACUGAAUUUGAUAAGAGCAUUGCUUCCAAUGGAGGACAAGAUCAUUGGAAGAUCCAACAUGUGCCCCACGUUAGCAUUGCUUCAUCUAGAGACAUGUUAUGCCCCUUGUGAAUCAAACUAAUGAUUUCCUUGUGAUUUUGGAAGAGACCGGGAGUGACUAUUAGAGGAGAAGGCACCAAUUAAUUAAUUCAUCAUCAACUUAAGAGCUUAGACAGGUGAGGGGAGUGAGUACAUCACUCCAUAUUUUGAGCUAGGGAAAUGAAGGAAAAUAUAUAUACUUGGUUUGCUCCUGUUUGAACAUGUUUGAAGUUUGAAGAACUAGGAUUUUGGGUCCCCCACUACAAAAUCCUAGCUAGGGCUUAAGCAUUUGGUCUUAAUUAUUCUUCGUUAUUGUAGUUGUUUUGAUUCUUCGUUAUUGUUAGUAUGUUUCCAUUUCAUUUUUGUGGUGCUUGAUGUGUUUUUAAAUUUGGUGGCUUAUGUUCGAAUCCAUGGAUGCAAGUGGUAAUAUAUAUGUGCGGUUGCAUUCCCUGGUCAUGCAUGGAGAAAUUUGGCUCUGUUCUGAUUUUUGGUGUUUUGAUCUGAGCUUGAAAGCAUUUUAAUUCUUAAGUUAUUAUAUAUGCUAUUUUGAUAUAUAUAGGAAAUGUGAUGUUUAUACGAUUGUGAAGCUUAGAUGGUACAUUCAUGUUGAAAAAAGUGAUUGAUGUUCACUUUGGAUGGAGUAUUCUAUGUUUUCACCCAUUCUGUUAGAUUUGUUUAAUGAGUUGUGGUGUGUUAAAGUUUAAAGGGAAAAAAAAGUAUUCUAUGUUGAUACAUUGGUUCUAUCCAUUUCAUGCAUUGCUGAGACGUAUGUUGGAUGAGCUUUGCAAAGAAAAAAAGGAGGACCCUCCCAAGGAUGUUUCUACCAUCAAGUCGUUGACAAAAGAAGUCAGAAACUGCUUGUGCAAUAAGAGGUAUGUUGUCUUGUUUCAUGACAUAGGGAAUGAAAAAUUUUGGGAUCACAUGAAUCUGCUGUAGUUAAUGAUAAAAAAUGGAAGUAGGAUACUAAUCACAACCAGGAAUGAGAAGGUUGCAGAAUUUUGUAAGAAAUCUUCAUUCGUGGAGGUGCUUAAGCUAUAAGAAUCUUUAAGUGAAGAAGAAUCUUUGAAAUUGUUCGGUAAGAAAGCAUUUCAGAAUAGUUCCGAUGGACAUUGUGCAAAAGAACUUAAAGACAUAUCUCUUGAAAUUGUUAGAAAGUGUAAAGGUUUACCUCUAGUAAUUGUGGCCAUUGGUGGUCUUGUCUCAAAAAGAUGAAAGUGCACCUGAAUGGGGUUUGUUUAGUCAAGAUCUAAGUUUAGGUUUAAGUUAUGAUGAUUUAAGUGGAAGUAUAGGAAGCUCACCCCGGUCAACUCUUAUUAUCAUGGGAAAAUAUGAAAAAUUAUCUGAACAAUUGGUAAGGAAAAUCCCUAUAUAAUGCUAUUGAAGGUUCGGGAUUACGUUAUGUUCCUGAAAAUUUGGGAAUUUAUUCUACGUGAGAUACCUACAGUGACUAUAGAUGAUUGGAAGGAUAUUGGAGAAUUUAUUCUACGUCAUCUUCUAGAUUAUUCUUCGUGUUCAAUUCAAUGGAAGGAUAUUGGAGGCAUAAUAACUUUGUAGAAUGAUAUUCAUGGCCUUGUUCUUUUCUUGAAUAAAACACGCAACCAUUCUUAUCUAAUUCCUAAAAUAAUUACUGUUGCCUCCUUUUCUCUUGUGGUAUUUGCUUCAUUUUUUUUUCUCUACAACAUCACGCAUAGAAGUUAAGGAUAGAAUUGUCUAACGUACAGUACAUGCUUGCAACAAUAAUAGUCAUUGUUUUCUCAUUAGAAGAGUCUCACCGUUAUAAUCCUUUGUAUUAUUGUGCUCAGAAUUGGUGGAUGUUGAGAUCGAAUGGGUUGAGUUUUUUAUUGCCAUGUUGAUAGGCGUUAGAAUUGAGACUUUUCUUGUUAUUAUAAAUGUAAAAUAUGUUGCUGUCAUAUUUCUGAUAUAUAUCAAUUUCGUCAUUUUGUAGUAGGUGGAAUUGGGUGAAAAACCAUGUUUUAAGGAAGUGAGUAAGCUAUGUCAGUAUUAGUUGUAACUUUUUUGCUUGUAACUUUAUAUUUUCACCAAAUGCAAGUCUCUCUAUGUAAGCUGAAAACAAGAGAAUGAAAAUACACUUCCCAUUCCACCAAUUUCUGUUGUGUGCUCUUAUGCUGCUCUCUUCAGUCAUGCUCUUAUGCUGCUCUCUUCAGUCAUGCUCUUAUGCUCUCUUAGUUUUUAGUUUGACGAUAAGUUCUUGAACAAUUUCAUUGUAUCAUUUAAGAAGAAAUUAAUCUGGUGUUUUUACAGGGUUGCAAGCAUUUAUUUCGCUUAAAUUUUGUGGGUUUUUAAUGUUCUAUUAUGGUUGAAGCACAAUGUGGAUUUAUAUAGAUUAGAUUGAGUUAAUUUUUCCUAAUUUUAAUGCUUUGAUCCACUUUUUACCAUCAUGAAUUUCAGGAAAGCUAUGAGAGAAGAUUUGUAAGAGGUGUUUCCAAUGUUGUCCAUGUUAGACUCAUCAUAAUUAAAACCAGGACGUCAGAAUGAAGCUGUAAAUAGUGUUCUUACAGAUGCAGACAAUUUUUUACAACUGGAAGAUCCCCCUCAAGUUCUCUUUUUCCGGCCCUUGAAAUGAUGGAUAUGUGGGUUUGACGAUCAAAGUGGAAGAUUCAUCAUGUUACGGUAAGAGUUGUUCACCAAAACGAAAAAGCUAAACAUGUAACGUAAGCGAAAAAAAUGUGGAUUUCAUGCUAAACAUGUAACGUAAGUGAAAAAAAAAGUUAUAAAUUGUCAGUCCAAAUUAAUUAAACAUUUUUUCAGAAAAUUAUAUAUUUUUAUUUAUUCAAAAGCAAUAUAUAUAAUAAGUUUCAUUACUUUUAUAAUAACUACGUGAUAUAAUUUAUCUUAAGUAAGAUACUAAAAUUCAGGCUUAUUCACUAAGAAAUUAUUUUUUCUUUCAAUGCUUAAAUUUGUUUUACUAUUACUAAAUAGUUUAAUUUGGACGAACAAGUUGUUGGUCUUAGUGGAACUAAACACUAUUCCCUUAAGCUAAAUUUUGGAUUCAAAACUUGUGGAUAGAAAAAAUAUGAUUGGAAUGUAAAAUCUCAUUAAAGGUGGUCAAACAGAUUCUCCAACACAGAUUUGUCAUAAACAAAAUUAAUAAAUACUUUGCAAGAAUGUCAUGAUAACCAAAAAAAUAGUUAAUUUUGGUCCCUUAAGUUUAAAAUCAAUGCAAUUUGAUCCCUUUUAUCCAAAUCGACUUGAUGUUUAUUAAGAGAGUGGGAAGAAGUUCAACAAAAUAUGGAACCAAAUUGAACCGAUUAUUAUUAGUGAAAUGAAGUUGAACAAAAUAAAUAAAUAGGAAGACCAAAAAAGUUUAUUAAGGGAUAAAAUUGUGUCAUUUUGAAAAUUAAUGGACAAAUUGAACCAUUUACUAAUAGUGGGACAACGUUUACAAAAUAAAUAAAUUGUGGGACAACAAAAAGUAAUUAAUCUUUUUUUUAACUAUCAAAAAAUUUGAAAAGGAUUAAUAGUGAUGCACUAACAAUGUUGUUAACUAGUUGGCAAGUGUACCAAAUUGUCACAAGUACUAAAGUACUCGAAAGUCCGAGUGUCGAAUCCACAGGGAUUUUGUGUUGUACUUAUCUUGGAUACUUUUAAAUUUAUAAGGGAAUAAAAGAAAGAGUAGAAGAUAGAAGGCAAUAAUAGUAAAUUAGAAAUAAAAAGCAAAAGAAUUAAAAGUAGAAUAAUUAAAGAGAGAAUUCAAUGAAAUGCGAAUGUUAGGAGCUAGCAUGCCUUGUUUUCCCAGGAUGUAUGAGUUUAUGAUUUCUGUUCAUUUACUUGUCCCUGAUUCCACACGAUGACAAGCCUAUUUUAUUCAUCUAUCUCUCAAAUUCCUUUGCAAAGACUCAACAAAUAAAAUGCAUGAAGUAUGAAUUCUAGAUGUUUGCAAGAAUACAUGGGCAUCAAAUUAUCAUUCUAUUUCUAGCAAUGACUUUCUCAUGAAAUCCUUUCUUUUUAUUCUAUUACAAGUUACCCUCUUCCGAGUGUCUAAUCCCUAAAACUAAUGCAUACAUAUUUUCUUUAAAUCUUAUUUAGAAGUUACCCUCUCCCGGGUGUCUAACCCCUAAAAGGAUAUAAAGAUGAAUAAUGCAAGAUAAAAGCAGAAAAGAUAAUAGAAUAGAAAAACGUAGAAAAUAAUCCUGUUGCAUUGAUAAAUAUGAAGUACAUCAUACAUCUCUUUGGCUUUUUAGGCCUGUCAGGCCCUAACUAGGGAGUUUAGCCACUCAUGGCCAUUGAGGGCUUUACAAUGGAAGGGGUGAAAGAAAGAUGAUAAAAAGAGAGAAGAAAGUAAGAAUUCUCAGGCUUUAAGUAAUAGUGAGAGUACUCUCAGACAUCGUGGGUUUUCUCAUUGGCUUGACUCUCCAUUUAUAGUUGAUGAAGUGGACUUGGGCUUGAUUCAAAAAAUCUUCCUUAUCUAUCUUUUUGAUAUCUUUUGGAUCUUAUAAAUCUUAUCUUUCCUAUAUCUGCAAGUCAUAGAUAAGAAAAAUAUCAAUUCAUAUCUUUUAAGCCAAAAAUAACUGCUAAAUAAAUAUCUUUAAAGAUAUUUUUACAUUAGCUCAUAUUUAGCAAUUAUCAAUAUCUUUUGGAUCUUGUAAUCUUAUCUUUUCAUAUCUAUAAGCCAUAAAUAAUAAAAGUAUCAAUUCUUAUCAUUUAAGCCAAAAAUAACUGCUAAAUAAAUAUUUUCAAAUAUAUUUUCAAUAUAUUUUUAUUAUAAAAUAACUCAUAUUUAGCAGUUAUCAAAAUCUCCCAAAUUAAAACUUUGCUUGUGCUCAAGCAAAUCAGAAUAAAAGCAGGCUCUAAAUGCUUCAACACUUUCAAUGGGUGCAAUUUUUCUCAAAUUCCCUUAGCUGGACCUUCUUGCAUUUGUCAUGAUCUUGCAAUGGAAGCAUAAACAAACACUAAGAUAGAAUUGGUUAGUGACCGAUCGUCGUCUCUUCCCGGCGCUGGACAAGCAGAGAACGUCGCUGCAAGGCAGCCCAGUAUCCUUUGAAUUCACAGUGAUUAUUACUAUUUUCAAUCAAAUUUGGCUUGCCUUACUUUCCUCACAAGGCUGGUGUUUUCCUCUGCUCACAAGUGUCUGGUUUAGUGUUUGCAAUUUAUACGACAUGCAAUUAAUGUUCCCAAUUUUACACUUCAUCUCAGUUAAAGUUAUCAUGCUUACACUUGGUGGAUCACUAACGACUUUUAUUGGCUUGUAAUGUGGCAUGCAUGGCUAAACAAAGAUGUUGAGGUGUUUGGCAAGUGUACCAAAUCGCUCUAAGUAGUAAUUCUUGAAAGUCCGAGUAUCGUUUCCAUAGGGAUUUUAUUGCACUUUAUUGAAUACUCUUCAAUUUGCAAGUACGGAAUAAAUAAAUAUUUAAAAAUUCUAUCUCUUCUCACUUCUUUUUAUUGAAAUGAAUUGGGCCUAUGGUUUGUAAAAGGUGUCCUACUGUGUGCUGUACUAUUGUCUUGGCCACUUAUUCUCAAAAUCCCCCAAAUUAAGACUUUUAUAACCCCAUUUUGCUCUCUUAAAAUCCUAAAGGGUCAGGAUUAUCAUUUUAUUGGCUCAAGGGUUAAUUCAAAAUAAUAUGUUGGCUCAAUCAAGGGUGCAAGGGGUAAAAUUAUGUUGGGUUGGCUUAAAAACAGGCGUUUUUCUCUCACAAUUAAGUUCACACUCUCACCGGGACUAAGCAAGUAUUCGAUGUACCAGUUAUGACCUUGUUCCAUCAAGCUAACCUUUUCCACUCUGUGCUACUCAUGUUCCUUUUCUUGACCUGACUUGUGCUUUCAGAACCAGUGUUUCUACAAGGAUCAGUAGCAUCUCAAGUGUUGAACCUUUCAUAACAAGCUAAAGAAUUAUGAUGCUCAAGUUAUCAUGCACUUAUUACUCAGAAAACACAUACUGAAUACUAAUAUUAUUACUACUACUUCUUUUUACUUACCAAAUAGACUACAAGAAAACAUCAAAACAUAAAAACAUCAAAAUUUCAAAACAUCAAAACAUAAAAACAUGUGCUGCCUCCGCCCAAGUCUGCCCAUGGGCCCCAAUCAGCGCUAGCCAAGUCAGCAAUGAGGUCUUCAUCAACUGUAGGAUCCUCAGUAUCGGCUCUAGAAAGCUCUUCCCCCCUGUUAGUGGAGGGCUGGUCUCCUGGCCAGGCAUUGUGCUGACGAUAAGCCUCUGGAGUGAUGAGCGGUGGGUCCAUCUACAGGUGCAAGGAUAGCCUGUGCAUGUUCUCCAUAAUGAGUUGUUGUCCUAUGUGAAUGGACCUCAGCAUCUAACCAUGCAUGUCCAGGGGUGCUGAGGUGGAAGCAGGUGGAGGGCACGGUCUCUGGGAAGAAGGCUGAGAAGGGGCCUCUGAUGCUAAUGCUAAACCUCUGGUGUGUGUGUGGCGGGUCCCUAGAAAUGUGAUAGAUGGAUUGACGGGGUUCCAGUAGUUCUUCUUAAUGUAAGCAAGGUUGAUCACAGGACUGAGUGACUCAAAAAUCAGGGUAUCAGAGACAACCCCUAAAUCUCACACAGUGUUGUGAUCAACGCUGGAAACCCGAGCCUGGAAAUGCUGGACUGGGCGAUCUAACUGAUCAGAAGAGAAAUGAGGCUGUCCACGUCCAGGUCCAUCUUCAUCACCAAGCCAUAUAUGAGUCGGGCCCUGUCAACAUUAAUAUCAGAAGUAUGAGAAGUAGGAGCAAGAUUAAAAUAAGAGAGAACACUCCAUGUCUGAGCGAGUGUUGUCAGAUCCUUCAGCAGCAGUUUCUAGGGGGCACCAUCAACAUUCAGCACAAAUUGUCCCCCUAGUGUACACAAGGCGGAGAGGAUGGCGUCAUGGUCUGGAGGAGUGCGGAGGUACUGAGAGUAGGCUGGAUACUCCUCUCUAUCUGCCAGGAUGACCGGGGUGUCAACGAAGUCAUUAAUCGUCUCAGCAUCGAAUCUGACCACCUGUCCUCGAACCCUGGAAAACUUCGGAUUACGGUCCUCUGGAUCAUAUAGGUUGGAGUAAAACUCCUUCACCCGAGCAACAUCAAUCCGCUUCUCUGGAAGUCGGGUCAGAACCUGGUCCCAUCUGCGCCUCUGGAACUCCUGGAGGAACUUAUCAAACAUCCCUGGUCCAAGCUUUACAUUCCUCUCCGGAAGGAUGUUCCGGAGCUGAAUGUUGUCCUGGUAUCUGUGCCAAGCAAUCUCGGAUGUGAAACGGGAAGAGUCCCAGGUGGACGCUUCCCCGAAUGUAGGCACGACUCGACGUUUGCGGGAGGCCAUCUGAAAUGAAAACAAGAAACAACAGAAAUAGACUGCAGUUAGUAAAUAGAGGGGGUGCAAAAAGAAAUCAGAAUAGGGGUGUAGUCAGUAAAGAUGUGGGUGAAAAGAGAAAUCCAAAGGGGAGUGUGGUUAGUAAUAAAGUGGGUGCAACAAGUAAGGCGCGAGGCUGAUGGGCCCUAAGGCCCAGCCCCGCGCUUAGCGCGUUCACUGAUGUUCAUGAGCGCGCUUAGUGCGGCAGUGUCGGCUAAGCGCGUGCUUCGGUUUUCUGCUGUUACUUGCUGUGGCUUAGCGCGCUCCUCUUUUCUUCUCCAUGUUACCUGUUCCCGCUAAGCCUAUGUGAAAGGCUUAGCAUGAUGAUACCUGCAAAGUAUUACAGCAAUAGUCCAGAUUCAAAUCUCACCUAUUUUUGUGUAAUCUGCGUGAAAAGGCACAGGGGAGCAGGCAGGUGAAGAGAGAAUUCAGAGAAAAAGAGUGUAGAGAGUGGAAGGCAUAGAAGAAAAGAAGAAAAAUGAGGUGAUUUGAAAUUUAAAAUAAAACAAAAGGGCAGUUUAGGGGUUGGACAGUUUCAAAUUCAUGGCCCUGGAUGCAUUGUUAUCAAAGUUGAGCAACUUAAGAGCCCAAUAUGCUUUGUGCUCCAGCUCCACUGGUAAAUGACAUCCCUUCCCAUACACUAGCUGAAAUGGUGAUAAGCCGAUGGGAGUCUUGAAUGUUGUCCUAUAGGCCCAGAGAGUAUCAUCGAGCUUCAAGGCCUAAUCCUUUCUUGAUGACGCCACUAUCUUCUCCAGGAUUCGUUUGAGCUCCCUGUUAGAAAUUUUUGCUUGGCCGUUUGUCUAAGGGUGGUAAGGUAUGGCCACCUUAUGUCGUACAUCAUAGUGCUCCAGGACUUUCUUCAACUGAUUGUUGCAGAAGUGCAUUCCCCCAUCACUAAUCAAAGCUCGUGGGACUCCAAAACGGGAAAAGAUGUUCUUCUUCAGAAAUUUGAUCACUACCCUGGCAUCGUCUUUCGGUGUGGCUAUGGCUUCCACCCAUUUGGAGACGUAAUCCACAACUACCAAGAUGUAGACGUUCCCGUAUGAAGAAGGAAGGGGCCUCAUGAAGUCUAUGCCCCAACAGUCAAAGAUCUCUACUUCCAUGAUAUUCUGCAAAGGCAUCUCAUUCCUUCGAGAUAUCCUCCCUGUUCUCUGACAUUUAUCACAGCAACGCACAAACUCGUAAGCAUCUUUAAAAAUAGAAGGCCAGAAAAAACCUGAUUGUAGCACUUUUUUUGUUGUUCUGUCCCCACUGUGGUGACCGCCAUAUGGUGAACUGUGGCAGUUCCACAGAAUGCUCCAUGCUUCCUCCUUUGUGACACAUCUCCUUAAUAAAUUAUCUGCUCCUGCCUUGAACAAAUAAGGAUCAUCCCACACAUAGAAGCGUGCAUCGUGCAAGAAUUUCUUCCUCUGACUCCAAUUAAACUCCUCUGGAAUGACUCCCGUGGCUUUGUAGUUAGCCAUGUCUGCAAACCAAGGUCUAGUGGUAACCUGCAAAAGAAACUCAUCAAGAAAUUCUCCUCUUACCUCUGGUUCUUCCUUGGUGACUUCUUCAUUCUUUAAUCGAGAUAGAUGAUCGGCUACCACAUUCUCGGAUCCCUUCUUGUCCCUGAUGAUGAUGUCAAAUUCUUGUAACGGUAGGACCCAUCUAAUCAACCUCGGCUUUGAGUCUGUUUUGGCGAGCAGGUGCUUGAUGGCAGCAUGAUCUGUUAAAAUGGUGACCCUCGACCCUAUCAAGUAUGACCUGAACUUCUCCAAGGCAAAGACAAUGGCUAGCAUCUCCUUUUCUGUGGUUGCAUAAUUCAGCUGUGCUUCAUUAAGGACCUUGCUAGCAUAAUAGAUGGCGUGAAAUACCUUGUCGUGCCUCUGUCUCGGAACUGCUCCUACUGCAUAAUCACUGGCAUCACACAUUAGUUCAAAAUCUUUAUUCCAGUCUGGUGCAAUCAUUACCAGUGCAGUGGUGAGCUUAUUCUUCAGUGUCUGAAAUGCUGCUGAACAUUCUUCAUCAAACUUAAAAACCACGUCCUUAUUCAACAGAUUGCUUAAGGGUCUGGCAAUCUUCGAGAAAUCCUUGAUAAACCUCUUGUAGAAACCUGCAUGCCCUAAGAAACUUCUAACCCCCUUAACAUUAAGUGGUGGUGGCAACUUCUCAAUGACGUCUAUCUUCGCCCGAUCAACCUCAAUCCCUCUAGCUGAGAUCUUGUGGCCUAGGACUAUGCCCUCUCAAACAAUGAAAUGACACUUUUCCUAGUUUAGUACCAAGUUAGUCUCUACGCAACUCUGUAGUACCAUCUCUAGGUUCCUCAAACAGCUGUCAAAUGAGGGUCCAAAAACCGAGAAGUCGUCCAUAAAUACUUCGAUGCUCUUCUCCACCAUGUCUGAAAAAAUGGCCAGCAUGCACCUCUGAAAUGUGGCUGGUGCAUUACAUAACCCGAAUGGCAUUCUUCUAUAAGCAAAGACGCCAAAGGGGCAUGUAAAGGCCGUCUUCUCCUGAUCUCUGGGGUCUACCGCGAUCUGGUUGUAUCCUGAGUAUCCAUCCAAGAAACAGUAGUAUGCCUGCCCUGCAAGUCUCUCCAACAUCUGAUCCAUAAAAGGUAAGGGCAAAUGGUCCUUCCUUGUGGCUUCAUUCAACUUGCGGUAGUCGAUACACAUCCGCCAGCCAGUGAUAGUUCGUGUUGGUAUCAGGUCAUUCCUCUCAUUUCGUACUACUGUCAUUCCGCCCUUCUUGGGAACCACCUAUACUGGGCUUACCCAAGCGCUGUCAAAGAUGGGGUAUAUGAGCCCAGCCUCCAAAAGCUUGAGUACCUCCUUUUUUACCUCUUCCUUCAUUGUUGGAUUCAGUCGCCCCUGGGGUUGUCGGACUGGCUUGUAGUCCUCUUCCAUCAUUAUCCUAUGCAUGCAGUAGGCGGGGCUGAUUCCCUUGAGAUCUGAUAUGUGUCAUCCAAUUGCUUCCCUGUGUUUCUUCAGGACAUCUACUAACCUGUUUUCCUCCUCUGUUGUGAGUGUACUAUUGAUCACUACGGGUUUAUCUUCCUCCAAGAACAUAUACUUCAGAUGAUCAGGCCAUAUCUUCAACUCUAUCUUCUUCUUCUCAGACGGAACUUCCUUCUCUAGCAUCUCGAAUCUGGCUUCUCCCUCAGGAACACUGUCUUGUCGAUCCAAGUCUUCCAAGCAAGUCUUCAGAUCUUCUUCCUCUUCACUGGUUAGAUAGUCUAAAGCAUUUACCAUUGCUUUUUCUAGCAAAGUUUGUGGUGUCUCGAGAAUACUGACAUCUUCCUUAUCAACCUACUCCAUUCUGAAGCACUUCCAACCUUCCUGUGGGUACUUCAUUGCCUUGAAAAGGUCAAAGGUGAUCUUCUGAUUGUCAAUACUCAACUCCAAGUUCUCAUUCCCCAUAUCCACCACACAGUUGGUAGUCAGCAUGAAAGGUCUGCCUAAGAUAAGGGGAAUGUCUGUGUCUUCUUCGAUAUCCAUGAUGACAAAGUCCACCGGAAAAGUGAAGUGGCAUACCUUGACCAGGACAUCUUCUACCACCCCAUAUGGUCUUGUGAUCGAGCGGUCUGCCAGUUGAAGCGUCAUCUUGGUGGGAUAUAUCUUCAAAUUCCCGAUUCUUCUGUACAUUGACAAGGGCAUCAGAUUGAUACUUGCUCCUAGAUCAUUGAGGGCCUCGUUUACCGCUUCCUUCCCUAUGGUGCACGGGAUGGUAACACUUCUGGGGUCCUUAAACUUCUCAGGUAGCUUCCUCUGUAUUAUUGCACUGCAGUUGCCCCCUACCACAAUAUUCUCGUUUUCAAUAUACUUCCCCUUCUUGGUGAGGAUGUCCUUCAUAAAUUUGGAGUAGAGGGGCAUCUGCUGUAAGGCUUCCCCGAAUGACAUGGUGAUUUCCAGCCCUUUGAUUAUUUCCAAGAAAUGUCUAAAGUAACGCUCCUUGUUCUUCUUGGUGGGUACCAUGGGAUAUGGGAGAUCCUGUGGUAGGGCUGGUGGUUCUUCCUUCUUGGCUUCCCUUGCUCUCUGGCUCUUGGUCUUAGGUGGUGAUGCCACCUUCUCUUCUUCUUCUGUCCUCUCUUCCUCUGACCGGUCUUCUCCUUCAGCCUUACCCUCCUCCUGUGCUCUUCUCUUCCCUCAAGUCAGCAUCGCCUUGCAUUCUUCCUUUGGGUUUUUCUCCGUGUUAGCCCCGAAAGUUUUAGUGGGCCGUUCGGCUUUGUCAUGCGCCAGUUGGCCCAUUUGAAAUUCCAAGUUCCGAAUGGCUACGUCCGUGCUCUUUUGAUGUGAUCUCGUCUCCUGGAUAAAUUGCAGCAACAAUUCCUCUAUGUUAGUGGGCUUUUCUUCCUAAUUCAGACCUUGGCUAGGGUGCUGGUAUGGCGGUUGGUAUGGUGGUUGGUUCCUUUGCUCCUUAUAUUGAUUUCCUUGAUUCCUCCACCCUGAUCCUUGCGUGAAUUUUCUUCCUUGAUUGAAUCCCGGUGGCCCGUGAUUAAAUCAUGUUGCCCCUUGAUGGAAUUCGGAUGAAUUUCCCUGGUUGUAGCCCUGGAAUCCGUGACGAUUUGGUAUGCCCAUAUAAUUUACUUCUCGAGAGGAGUCUUGUUGGCUUACACAUUGUCCAGGCUCAUGGGUUCCUCCGCAUGUGGGGCAUCCUUCUACCUGCAAAACAGAAAGGUGAGAAGAACUUACCGCUUGUAAUUGUUGAGGUAGAUUGCUGAGGGUUUCGGUAAGGGCUUCUAUCUGCCUCAUCAACAACUUGUUUUGUGCCAAAGUUAUGUCCUGCGUGCUGAGUUCCAAAAGGCUUCUUUUCGUGGGAACAUAGGUAUGAUCACGAAGGAUUGCUUGAUCGCUAGCUGCCAUGUUCUCGAUGAGCUCCAUCGCUUCUUCGAGAGUCUUCAGUUUGAUCUUCCCUCUUGCGGAUGCAUCUAGUAGCUGUUUCGAUUGAGGCCGCAAGCCAUCGAUGAAUAUGUUUAGCUGUACUGGCUCGCUGUAUCCGUGUGUCGGUGUUUUCCUUAGCAAUCCGUGGAAACGGUCUAGUGCUUCGUUAAGGGAUUCAUCCGGAAAUUGAUGGAAAGAAGAAAUCUCCAUCUUUCCUUCGGCGGUCUUUGACUCUGGGAAGUACUUCUUUAAGAAUUUUUCCACUACUUCUUUCCAUGUUCUUAAGUUGUUUCCUUUAAAGGAGUGCAACCAUCUUUUUGCCUCUCCUGCUAGGGAAAAGGAGAAGAGGUUAAGGCGUAUCACAUCUUCUGAAACUCCGGCGAUUUAAACAGUGUUGCAUAUCUCUAUGUAUGAGGCUAGAUGCGCAUAUGGAUCUUUGCUUGGAAGACCAUGGAAGAGGUUCCCUUGGAUUAACUGAAUAAGAGAGUGCGGGCAGGAGAUGUUGGCUGCUUGAACCUCCGGCCUUGCAAUACUUGUGAAGAACUGAGGAGUGGCGGUAUUAGAGAAGUCCUCAAGUGUGACUCUUCUUGCCGGUUCCCCGUCCAUCUGAGUGUGAUUUGGAGAAAGAGGAGGUGAGGUGUAACUGCUUCCUUCUGUGUCUUGCUCCCUUCUUCUUCUUGCAGCGUUGUUACACCGACAAGUAGCUUCAAUUUCUAAAUUAAUAGGGACAACGUCUCUAGAUGCAGUUCUACCUCGCAUAAAAACAAAAGGCACUAACCGUGCAAUUUAUGGGAGAAGAAAGAAUAGAAGAGAAAGAAUACUAAAAGAAUGAGCCAAGAAAAGAAGAGUUGGGCUUACAAAUUGAUAUAGUAUGGCAAUUAAGUACACGAAUAAAAUCCCCGGCAACGGCGCCAAAAACUUGUUGAGGUGUUUGGCAAGUGUACCAAAUCGCUCUAAGUAGUAAUUCUUGGAAGUUCGAGUAUCGUUUCCACAGGGAUUUUAUUGCACUUUAUUGAAUACUCUUCAAUUUGCAAGUACGGAAUAAAUAAUAAAAAUAGGAAUAGGUGCAAGAAUAAAUUGUUAUUACUAAAUCAAAUAGUUUUAGAAAGAUAACUAAUGAAAAUGUCAAGACCGGACAAACCCAAUUGGCCUACGAUGCAUGUAAAUUUGAUAUUCAUUACCAAUGCAAUUGUAUUAGUUCUACCCACAUCUAUUAAUUUUGCUUGCCCUUGAUGCCUCACGAUGACAAGCCUAUUUUAACUACCUAUCUCCGAAAUGCCUUUGUGAAGAUUCAAUAAUUAAAAUGCAUUAAGGUUAAAUUCUAGAUGUUUCUAAAUGCAUGGGCGUUGAGUUAUCAUUCUAUGCCUAGCAAUGUUAACCCAAUGAUCCUUUUCUUAAUGUGUUCUAUUAGGUAUUACCCUUUCCCAAGCAUAUAACCCCUAAAACUGAUGCAUGCAUUACUUCUUAAAUCCUUACUAGGCAAUACCCUCUCCCGAUCGAAUAAAACCCAAAAACAAUUUAAGACAUAGAUGCAAGAUAAAAAGAAAAGAAUUAGAACAUGAAACCUGGAAUGAAUCCUCUUUGCAUUGAUAACUCUUGAAGUACACCAUAUAUCGUUGGCUUUUUAGGCCUGCCAGGCCCUACCUAAGGGAUUAGCCACUCAUGGCCAUUGAGGGCUUUACAACUGGGGGUGAAAGAAAGAAUGGGGUAAUAAAAAUAAAGAAUAUAGAGAGAAAAGGGAGAGCUCAGACUUGGAAUGCUGAGAGAAUUGCUCUGAGGGGAGGUGUGUUGUUUUCCUUGGACUGACUCUCUAUUUAUAGCAGCUAAAGUGGGCUUUGGGCCUUCGUAAGCGCACUUAGCGCGACACCUCACGCUUAGCGCGUUCAGAACGCGCGCUGAGCGCGCGCUGCAGGCUUAGCGUGUGUUUCUGUGGGAUCGCGCGCUUAGCGCGUGGCUCGCGCUUAGCGCGCGUAACGGGUUCUGCAUCUUCGAGCUUAACGCCUCGCUUAGCGCCUGUGCUGCUUUGCACGCUUAGCGCGCGUGUUGGGCUGGGCCUCCUUCAGACUUUCUUAUUUUUCUUCAUUUCUGUUGCCUUUUUGCUUAAUGUAACUUCAGUUUUCGUAUCUGCAACCAAAAAUUCAAUUUAAUUAAUUUUCUAACUUUUAAUCACAAAUAACUACUAAAUAAUUAAUUUUAGUCCAAAAUUUGACUAAUUCACUACUAUUAAUUCACAAUUAUUUAGCAGUUAUCAAAAGAAAUUAUGGUUUUUCUGGGAUUCAAAAAUUAAGGUUAUAAGAGACCAUUUAUCCUAGAAAAACUUUCACUUAUUCAGUCUAGCGUUUUUUUAACAGCACUUAUGGCACCUAUUUAUUUUCUACCCUUAUUAUUCUUCUUUCCGUUUUUUUUGGAAUGAAACUUUUGGCCUACAAUUGUUUUUUUGAAGACAAACUUUUGGGGCUACAAUUUUUUUUUUGGAAAGAAACUUUGGGCAUACAUUUUUUUAGGGUGCCUUAAUUUGUGCUAUUUUACCUUCGUGAGAUAAUUUUUACCUUAACCCUCUCCCAAAUUAGGAGCAUAUCAUAACUAAGAUCCUUAUGCUCUCUUAAACCCUAAAAAAGGUAGGAAAUAAUUAAAGUAGGCUUAAGGGUUUUUUUAAAAAAGAAACAUCAUUAUCAUUUUUGGCUCAAAUAGGGUGCAAGGGAUAAAUUAUUAUCAAAGGUUGGCUUUCUGGCUAAGUGGCUGAAAAUAAGAAGAAACAUGGCCUUGAUCAUUUCCACCUCAUGCAAUUAAUCAAACAGUCUAAGAAUGAUGCAAAAGCAGGAAAUUAAAAACAGACGUUCUCUCACAAGUAAGUUUCACACAACUCAUUGGGACAAAACAAAGUUGUUGGCUUACCGCACAUGAUUUCUUCCCGACGGACUAACCUUUUCCUCUCUUUGUUGUGAUUCAUACUCCACUACUUGAACUAACAUUUUCCUUCAUGUAACCAGCAUUUUCACAAAAAUUGGUAUGCGACAUUUCAAGUGUCGAAGUCCUUCAGAGAAAGCUCAAAAAGUGACUUCAUAAUUAUCAUGCAAUUUUUAUUCAAUGACAUAAAAUGACUAAAUUUAAACUACUAGAAUUAAAUUUCUGAAAUUAAAGUAAGAUAAAGAAAAACAAAAACUAAAGACAAGAAACAUAAAGAAACAAAAGAAAAGAAGAAAUCCUGAUAAGAAGAUUUGGGUCUCAAUCUUGUGUGGGCCCUGGAUCCCAAUCAGUUGCUAGAUAUGCAAUAUGGUCUCAUCCUUAGUUCCGACUUCAGUGAUAUCUCUGACCUUAGAGGGCUCACCCCCCCCCCCCCCAUCAGUAGAGGGUUGAACUCCUGGUGGGCCAUGAUUGAAUCCUAUUGCUCCUUGAUUGAAUCAAGACGGACCUCCUUGGUUGUAACCUUUGAAUCCGUGGCGAUUUGGUAUAUAUGCCCAUGUAGUUUACUUCUCUAGAAGGGUUUUCUUAAAUUGUACAUUGUCCAGGCUCGUGUAUUCCUCAACAUGUAUGGCAUCCCCCUACCUACAUCACAGAAGAGUUAGAAGGACUUACCGCUUGUAGUUGCUGUGGUAGCUUGCUGAGAGUCUCGGCCAGGGCUUCUAUUUGUCUAGAUAGCAGCUUAUUUUGUGCCAAGGUUGCAUCUUGCGUUGUGAGUUCCAGAAGGCUUCUCUUGGUUGGUGCAUAUGUGAGAUCACGAACAAUGGCGUGAUCACUUGCCACCAUAUUUUCUAUUAACUCCAUCGCCUCCUCCGGUGUUUUUAGCUUGAUCUUACCUCCUGCGGAUGCAUCUAGUAGCUGCUUUGAUUGAGGUCUCGGACCAUCUAUGAAAAUGUUGAGUUGGACCGGCUCACUGUAUCCAUGUGUAGGUGUUUUCCUUAGCAGUCCACGGAAGCGGUCGAGUGCCUCGCUGAGGGAUUCAUCGGGAAAUUGAUGGAAGGAAAAGAUUUCCAUCUUCCCCUUAACAGUCUUUGAUUCAGGGAAGUAUUUCUUUAAGAAUUUCUCUACAACUUAUUCCCAUGUCCGCAAGCUGUUACCUUUGAAGGAGUGUAGCCACCUUUUUGCUUCUCCUGCUAGUGAAAAAGAGAAAAGAUUGAGGCGUGUUGCAUUUUCAGGAACCCCGGCUAUCUUCACCGAGUUACAAAUGUCGAUGUAUGUGGCUAGAUGUGCAUAUGGAUCUUCACUUGGUAGGCCAUGAAAUAGAUUCCCUUGAAUCAGUUGGAUGAGAAAGUGAGGAUAAGAGAUGUUGGCCGCUAGAACCUUCGGCCUUGCAAUGCAUGUAAAAAAUUAUGGAGUAGUUGCACUAGAGUAAUCCUCUAAUGUGACUCGGCGUGCAUGUUCGUCCUCCAUAUGGACGUGGAUUUGUGGAGAAGGAGGAUGUGAGGCAUGACUGCUUCCUUAUGCUUCUUAUUCCCUUUUUCUUCUUGUAGCAUUGUUGCGUUUACAAGUGGCUUCAAUUUCCAAGUUGAUAGGAACUAUUUCUCCAGUUGCAGUUCUACCUCGCAUGCACAAAAACAAGUACUAUCCGUGCAAAUUAUGGAAGAAAUAAUGGAAGAAAAAAAUUGAAAAAAUAAAGAAAAAGGAAAAGUGUGAAAUAAAGAAUAGAAGAAUUUCUUACAAAUUGAAAAGGUAUGACAACCAAGUACGAAGACAAAAUCCCCGACAACGGCGCCAAAAACUUGUUAACUCGUUGACAAGUGUACCAAAUUGUCACAAGUAGUAAAGUACUCGGAAGUCCGAGUGUCGAAUCCAUAGGGAUUUUGUGUUGUACUUAUCUUGGAUACUUUUCAAUUUAUAAGGGAAUAAAAGAAAGAGUAGAAGAUAGAAGGCAAUAAUAGUAAAUUAUAAAUAAAAAGCAAAAGAAUUAAAAGCAGAAUAAUUAAAGAGAGAAUUCAAUGGAAUGCGAAUGUUAGGACCUAGCAUGCCUUGUUUGCCUAGGAUGUAUGAGUUUAUGAUUUUUCUUUAUCAAUUUAGGUGAUUCUAUUCUACCCACAUCUGUUCAUUUACUUGCCCCUGAUUCCUCACAAUGACAAGCCUAUUUUAUUCAUCUAUCUCCUAAAUUCCUUUGCAAAGACUCAACAAAUAAAAUGCAUGAAGUAUGAAUUCUAGAUGUUUGCAAGAAUACAUGGGCAUAAAAUUAUCAUUCUAUUCCUAGCAAUGACUUUCUCAUGAAAUCCUUUCUUUUUGUUCUAUUAGAAGUUAUCCUCUUCCGAGUGUCUAACCCCUAAAACUAAUGCAUGCAUAUUUUCUUUAAAUCUUAUUUAGAAGUUACCUUCUCCCGAGUGUCUAACCCCUAAAAGAAUAUAAAGAUGAAUAAUGCAAGAUAAAAGCAGAAAAGAUAAUUGAAUAGAAAAACCUAGAAAAUAAUCUUGUUGCAUUGAUAAAUAUGAAGUACAUCAUACAUCUCUUUGACUUUUUAGGCCUGUCAGGCCCUAACUAGGGGGUUUAGCCACUCAUGGCCAUUAAGGGCUUUACAAUGGAAGAGGUGAAAGAAAGAUGAUAAAAAGAGAGAAGAGAGUAAGAAUUCUCAAGCUUUAAGUAGUAGUGAGAGUGCUCUGAGACUUGGUGGGUUUUCUCCUUGGCCUGACUCUCCAUUUAUAGCUAAUGAAGUGGACUUGGGCUUGAUUCAAAAAAUCUUCCUUAUCUAUCUUUUUGAUAUCUUGUGGAUCUUAUAAAUCUUAUCUUUCCUACAUCUGCAGGUCAUAGAUAAGAAAAAUAUCAAUUCAUAUCUUUUAAGCCAAAAAUAACUACUAAAUAAAUAUCUUUAAAGAUAUUUUUAAAUUAGCUCAUAUUUAGCAGUUAUCAAUAUCUUUUGGAUCUUGUAAUCUUAUCUUUUCAUAUCUGCAAUGAUGUAAGCUCCAUUGGAGCUUGUAGGCCUAGGAUCUUCUUCAUCAAUGGAUUCCUUUGCUUCUUGGAAGAUGAAUGGCAGUGGAAUGGAGAAGGAAGAGAGGGAAGAGACGCCACUUUAAGGAGAAGAUGAGUCUAGAAGAAGCUCACCACCAUAGCAGGCCAUGGAUAAGAGCUUGGAGGAAGAAGGAGAUGAAUGAAGGGAGAGGAAGAGAAGAGCAUGAAUUUUUGUGCCCUAAAAGAGCUCUGAAAUCUGAAGUUUAAUUUUCAAAUGAUCAAAGUUGUAAAAAUGCACACACAUAGCCUCUAUUUAUAGCCUAAGUGUCACACAAAAUUGGAGGGAAAUUUGAAUUUCUAUUCAAAUUUCACUUGAAUUUGAAAUUGAAUUUGUGGAGCCAAAUUUUGGAGCCAAAAUUUCACUAAUUAUGAUUAGUGAAUUUCAGAUAUAGUUCAUCCCACUAAUCCAAGAUCAAGUCCAAGAUUCUCCACUAGUGUGCUUAGGUGUUAUGAGGCAUGUAAAGCACGAAGGACAUGCACAAAGUGUGACUAUAUGAUGUAGCAAUGAGGUGUAGCAAGCAAAUGCUCACCUCCCCCUCUAAAAUUUAAUUAGAUUGGGCUUCUACCAAUUCAAUUAAAUUUAUUUCUCAACACACACAUCAAAUAUUCACUUAAUGCAUGUAAAAUUACAAAACUACCCCUAAUACAAAAACUAGUCUAGGUGCCCUAAAAUACAAGGGCUGGAAAAUCCUACAUUUCUAGGAUAUCCUACCUACAUUAUGGAGUCCUAAAUACAAGGCCCAAAAUUAAUGAAACCUUAAUCUAAUAUGUACAAAGAUAAGUGGGCUCAUACUUAGCCCAUGGGCUCGAAAUCUACCCUAAGGUUCAUGAGAACCCUAGGGCCUUCUCUUGCAUCUUUGGCCCAAUCUUCUUGGAGUCUUCUAUCCAAUACCCUUGGGGGGUAGGAUUGCAUCAUGCAAGCCAUAAAUAAUAAAAGUAUCAAUUCUUAUCAUUUAAGCCAAAAAUAACUGCUAAAUAAAUAUUUUCAAAGAUAUUUUCAAUAUAUUUUUAUUAUAAAAUAAUUCAUAUUUAGCAGUUAUCAAAUGUAAAAUAAUUUUACAUUUUCAUCCAAUAAAAAAAAUCAUUAUUGUUAUAACUUUUAAAUUAUAUUUAUUAUAGGAGAUGAGGAGGUGGGCGAAUUUGUGAUUGCUAAAUCAGUGUGGAUGAAACCUUGCGUGAAGGUGUAGGAGGCUUCGGGGUUAUUGUUGGCUUUGUAGUGGGUUACUGAUUUGGAAAUGUUCCAUGCUAUGUUUGAAUUAGAUUGCUAGGGAGUGGUAGAUAGAGUGUUGGCUGCCAAAUCUGAUUUUUCUGAGGCAGCUUUGAUCAACCAAUGACUACAGACAAUUGAUAAUGUCAGUCCAUCUUUUUAUCAUAUGACACCUUAUUGUACUACUUUUGUUAUUAAUAAUGAAAAGCUGUAAGGAGAUAAAAGUUGGUUGGAUGAGUACGAAAGAAGGGAAGGAGAAAAAGGUUGCAGGUUUGAUCUCUCUUGCUAAGAAAAACUGACAACGAUUUGGCAAAUGUAGAAUUUGCAUUUCUGGAAAUAAAAGAAGAAAUGUGAAAUGAAAACACCUAAGGAGAUUUAUUUACCAGGAAAAUUCUACGGGUAAAGGAAUGCAAUCGUACAACAAUGAAUUUAUCUAUUAUAUCAUCAUACAGCAGGAAAAGGUUGCAGUUCCAUAACAAGUGUUGGAUUAUCACAGCAAUGGAAAAAAUAUAAUGAAUUUCUAGAAAUACACAAAAAGAAUAAUUGCAUUAAGGGAUGCCCUUUUACCCAAGUAGGAUAUAAUGCCAGACAAAUUGUUUGGAGUUUGAUCCAAAAGGAAAUUUAUCAAAUGCAAAUAAUACCAACAUUCAAUUAGUAAUGCUCCUGAUAUAUUGCUCCAAAUUCGGCUCUCCAUGCCUGAUCGUCAUAUGUAUAGGUGGAAGUUGGAUUAUGUGCCACAUCAGAAUCCUCUCUAUACAGUGGUUGUAGUGCAGAUUCAGGUAAUUUGCUCUCUGUAGUGUACUGCUUCAUGGCAUUAAUCUCAGUCUUGUGUUUUCUUUUCAUCAUCGCAAUUUGCAUCUUCAAAUUUUCAUUAUCUUGUUGCAAAUUUGCAAAGUUCUCCUGUAUAACAUAAGAAAUAUAUUACUCAGGAAAAGAAUAAUCAGAAAUGUGUUAAGACAGAACAUAUGCUGAAGCUGAAGCUUCUCAACCACAGUCACUGGUUUUUAAGUCACAUUAUGUUCCCUUCCUGUUUUUAUUAGUAACUUUGGUAUUUGAUAAAUAGGGAGGCCAAAGAAAUUAGUGCAAUACAAAUUAUAUAAUCCAUUUUAAGAACAUUCCCUGUUUCCUAUUACCCUUUUAACAAAUAAUAGAAUGGCAGAAGAACAUUCCCUGCAAUAUAAAUUAUAUAAUCCACAGUUACCGGCUGCACUUAUGUCUCACUCUCAAUGGAGAAAGAAUGUAGUGGGAAGUUUGCAAGGCAAUGGCGUUUAUGUGAAGGGGAAACAGGAACAUGAAAGGACACAAGGAAAGGGUUCUGGUGGUAGACAGAGGAAAAAGUCCAAGUCUAGAAAAUGCAAGAAAGAGAAGAGUGUUACAAACGCAACCAAAAGGGGCAUUUCAAUAGGUAUUGCCCAAAGUUGAAGAAAUUUGGUGAAAGGGCAUCCCAUUUAGUAAAUGUGGCAAAAAGACUAAUGAUUCAAACUACUACAGAACUGAUGGAGUAGUUCAUGCAAUCAGUUGACAGAUGCAUGGAUUCUUGAUUUUGGAAGUUCUUACCAUAUGACUCCCAAAAAGGAGUAGUUCAGCAUACACACGUUAGGUAAUUUUGGCAGUACCUAUAUAGGUAACGACAGAGAGUGUGUUGUUGUUGGAAUGAGACAGGUGCAGAUUGCUAUGGAUAAUGGUGGAGUGAGAAUGUAGUGUGAUGUCCGUCAUAUCCCUGAGUUGAGGAAGAAUUUGAUCUUACUUAGUACCGUGCAGGCCAAUGAUUUUAGUUACAGAACUGAUGGAGAUCGAGAUACCCUCAGAGUGUGUAAGGGGGUGUUGACUAUGAUAAAAGCACAACACACUGUACAAAAUAUUUAUAGGCUGCUGGGGAGCAUAAUUGUAAGUCGAGUUGCAUCCACUGAGUCUAAUGAUGAUGCUACCAAAUUAUGGCACCUGUUUUGGGUCAUCUCAGUGAGCAUGAGAUGGUGGAGCUUCAUAAGAGAGGGCUCUUGAAAGGAAUUCAGAGUUGCAAGUUAGACUUGUGCGAGCAUUAUUUGCUUAGGAAACAAACUAGAGUGCGGUUUAAAGUUACGAAACAUACCACCAAAAGGAUUCUAGAUAAUGUGCAUACUAAUGGGUGGGGUCCUACUAGAGAUUCGUCCAUGGUGAUUCUCACUAUUUUGUGACCUUCAUUGAUGAUUUUUCUGGCAAGGUCUAGGUGUACUUCAUGAAAUAGAAAUUUGAAGUCUUUGAGAAUUUCAAGUUGUGGAAAACUAAGGUGGAGAAUCAGGCGGGCAAAAAGACUAGGUACUUGAGAUCUGAUAAUAGCACAAAAUACACAAACUCGUUGUUUCAGAAAUUUUGUAAGGAACAUGGCAUUCAGAGGCAUUUCUCAAUGUGGAAAACACCACAAUAGAAUGGUGUUGUAGAGAGGCUGAAUAGGCCCCUUACUGAAAGGGCUCAGCGUCUGAGGUUGCAAGCUAAUCUUUCUAAAGGAUUUUGGGCAAAAGUGGUGAAUAUGGUGUGUUAUCUACUUAAUUGAUCACCGUGAGCAUCAUUGGGUGGGAAAGUUGUAGAGGAAGUUUGGGCGGGUAACCCUAUUGAUUUUAAUAAUUUGAGAAUAUUUGGGUGUUCUAAUUUUUGUGCAUAUAUCCAGUGAUGAGAGAUCUAAACUUGAUCCAAAGUCGAAAAAAUGUAUUUUUAUAAUUUAUUCCAAAGGUGUGAAAGGGUUUAAGUUUCGGGAUCUAAUUUUCAAGAAGAUGGUGAUUAGCAAGGGUGCAGUGUUUGAUGAGCAAUCCACGUUACCAGAGAUAGUUGAGACAACUAUGUCAGUGUCUACUGGAGCUUUCCCCAACUUCAUUGAGGUUUAGGUGGACUUCAAGUAAUUGUCGGUGAUUCCUGAGAGGAUAGAACCAUGUAGUCCAAGAUUUGAGGUUACACCUAUACCUGAGUCAGGAUCGGUGAGUCUAGGUGGACCACAUCAGGAGUACCAUCUUGUCAAAGAUAAAGAUCACUGCAGCAUUAAACCCGUUGUCCAAUAUGGGUUUGAAGAAUUGGCUAAUUUGGUUGCUUUUGCACUUUUCACUAGUGCGAGAUCCUUCUACCAUGAGAAAGACAAUAUGGUGAAGGAAAUGAAGUCUUUGCAGAAGAAUCAGACAAAGGAUCAAGUUGAGCUUCCUGCAGGCAACAAAACCAUGGGAUAUGCUAAUGGGUGUACAAGAGGAAACCUCUAGUAUCAGAAAAAAAAAAGGGGAAAAGUUCAAUGCUCGCCUAUUAGCAAAGGGGUAUGCACAAUAGAAGGGGAUUGAUUAUGAUGAGAUUUCCUCCUCAAUCGUAAGACACACUUCUAUUAAGGCAGUGCUAGCCUCGGUAGCCAAUCGUGACAUGCACUUGGAGCAAAUGGAUGUGAAGACAACCUUUCUUGACAAUGAUGUAGAGCAAUAAAUUUACAUGAAGCAACCAAAGAGGUUUAGUAAAGGUGGAUUGGAUCGACUGAUUUGUAAGUUGAAGAGGUCUGUGAAUGGAUUGAAGCAAUCUCCAAGGCAGUUGUAUGGAAGAAAUUGGAGAGUCAAUACAUGUCAAAACCCUUAAGGUUUGAGGUUAAGGUGUGGUGUCAAAGACACUUAUGUGGUUGCUCAAGGCUCACUGGUGCAAAUCUCCUCGAUGUUAACCGCCUCGGUUUUCACAAAAAUUGGUAUUAGAGUCAAUGGUUUCAUGUGGUGACCGGGUCAAACGAGUAAAAUGAUGAUGGUAGAUCCAUGAACAUAGGGAUCCCUUGUAUUGAAAGUCUUCCUGGCAGGUGGGUCCAUGCAUGGAGGCUAGGAAGCGGGUCCCGCAUGUGUUGUGGCAGCACAAGGUACUAGAGCAUGUUGGUGGAAAUGGUUAGGCGAGCUAAAGGUAGUCACGAUUAAGUUCUAAGGGCCAUCAUUGAAUACUUUUAGGUUGACAAUUUCUUUCAUUCGAGGAGGAGACUAUCAUGCGAAAGAGACUCACAUUUAAGGAGAAUAUUGUUGGAGUACAAGUGUGAGGAAAAGUACCACAUUGGAUACAAAUGAAAAGAUUGAAUAUCAUAUAAGUGGGGACAAGACCCAUAAAUUUAAACCUUAAGGUUUUGGAUUAAAGUGUGAUGUCAAACUCACUUAUGAGGUUGCUCGAGGCCCAUUGGUUUAAAUAUCCCCGGUGUUUACCCUCUCGAUUUCCCAACUAUAGAUGAACGAAGGCAAAUAUAUAAAUAAAUAAGUUGUAGGACAAAAAAUUAAUUAAGUUUUUUUUAAAAUUUCUAAUUUUGAAAAUUUUAUUGACUUUGAAAAUUUUCAAUUGAACUUGCCCAGUUUUUGUUUGUUCACUCUUUUUUUCCUAUUAAUCCUUGAUGUUUGAGAACUUCACCACUCUUUCUGAUAACAAAAAUAUUUUGACUCGCAUAAUACCACACAACAAUGUUUUCUGAAAUGGGACUGUUAUAAUUUAUAUAUAACAAACAUAUUGGACUUACAUAUUGUGGGUCUGCCACGUCUGAAUCAUAUUGCAUUUAGCAAAAAGUUUUGGCAACAUAUAGUGGCAUUUGCAUUUCUGUUCUGGGAAUAAUAGAAGAGAUCUAAGGAGAUCUAUUUACCAGGAAAAACACCAUAAGGAACAAGAAUGCAAUGGUACAACAAUGAAUUUACCUAUUAUAUCAGUACACAACAUGAAUGAUCACAAUUGUUGCAGUUCUAUGACAAGUGUUGGAUGGAUGAUUACAACAUGGAAAAAAAUACAAUGAAAUUCUGACAACAAGGACUUCCAUAACAACUUCGAGUGUCAUGCAUGGAUCACAGUGUCUCAAUCCUACACUGUAGAAGAAUUGCUGAAGGAUACGUUGCACAAGCUAUGCAAAGAAAAAUUGGAGACACCUCUUCACAAUGAUUCAUUGAUAGAUGAAAUGAGAAAUCACUUGCGCCACAAAAGGUAUGUCGUCCUGUUUCAUGACGUAUGGGAUAAAAAGUUUUCGGAUGGUAUUGAUUUUGCUAUAAUUGAUAAAAAUUCGGACACAGGUAUCAAUCACUACUUCGGACACAGGUUGCGGAGUUUUGUCAGAUAACUUCCUUCAUUCAGGUGUAUAAGCUAGAACCUUUAAGUGACGAAAAAUCUUUGGAAUUGUUAUGAUGUGGAAAGGCAUUUUUUUCGGGUUUUGGUGGAUGCUGUACAAAAGAAUAUGAAGACGUAGGUCUUGAAAUGGUUAGAAAGUGUGAACGUUUACCUCUAGCAAUUGUUGCAUUGGUGGUCUUUUAUAUAGCAAAUGUCAAAGUGCACUUGAAUGGACAGGUUUAGUCAAAAUCUAUGUUCGGAGUUGAAGAGGAAUUCUGAGUUAAUUAGUAUUUAAAAAGAAAAAUUGGUUUGAGUUAUGAUGAUUUUCUGUUCAAUCUCAGAUCAUGUUUAUUGUAUUUUAGAAUGUAUCCGGAAGACUAUGAAGUUAAAUCUGGAAGAUUGAUUACGCAGUGGAUAGCUGAAGGGUUUGUCAAACAUGAAAAUGGAAGAACUUUAGAAGAAGUUGCACAACAACAUUUAAUGGAGUUGAUCACUACAAGUUUGGUGCAAGUAUCUUCAUUUACUAUAGAUGACAAAGUUAAAGGAUGUCGUGUUCAUGACUUAAUACAUGAAAUGAUCCUUGGAAAUAUCAAGGAUACAUGGAUUUGUCUGUAUAUUGAUGAGCAUAAUCAAUUGGUGUCAAGUGCGAUCGUUAGACGCUUAACAAUAGGAUCAGAUUCCAAUGAUUUAAUUGAAAAUACUGAAAGAUCACGCAUUCGGUCAGUUCUAAUUUUCACAAAGCAAAAGUUACCCGAAUACUUAAUCAGUGGAAUACUUGAAAAAUACAUACCAUUGAAGGUACUUGAUUUUGAAGAUGCUAUACUAUAUCAUCUUCCUGAAAAUUGGGGGAAUUUAAUCCACUUGAAGUAUCUGAGCUUCAUGGUAUACACAGAUAGAAAGUCUUCCAAAAUCCAUUGGUAAGCUCCAGAACUUGGAGACCUUGGAUGUAAGACAAACAGAAGUGUUUCAGAUACCAAAGGAGAUUAGCAAGCUUUUAAAGCUACGUCAUCUUCUGGCUAACGAAAUUGUUAGAUUUCAUCUCAAAACCAAUUGGCAUUAAGUGAAGUUGCCCAACAGAUAUAUAAGCUGCACUCCAAGGAUUGAGGCAGCCGAUGUGGGACUUGGCUAUUUCCCAAUAGAAAUAUCUUCAAUUGCAGUGAAGGAUAGCAUUGGAGGCAUGACAUCUCUACAAAAUAUAUGCCUUCUGUAAGGAUUAUAGCGACUAAGGUCAAGAGAUUUCCUCUUUCGCCUACAGUGUUCAAUUAUUCUAUAAAUUAUUACACCUUUUAAUUUUAAAAAUUUGUAAAGUAAAGCCGAGACUCAUAUAUUUGCUUCCAUAUACUCCUUUCAUUCUCUUCCAAGUAAAUUAAACUAACAAUUUCCUUUUGAUGUUGGAAAGGGGAACCAUUUAUACAAACUUGGAAGAAUUCAUUAUCAACUUCACUCAACUCCAACAGCUUAGUAAGGUGUGCAAGGGAAAUAAUGGAAAAUUUACUUGGUUUGCAACUGUUUGAAGUUUGAAGAACUAGGCUUUUUCGAAAAGGGUUAUAAUUAUAAUUUUCCACCAGUCCUAAGCCCUGACUAUGUCUCCAUUUUACUUCAAAUUGCUUGUGGUUGAUGCGUUCAAAUUGCUUGAUGAGUUCUUCACAAGUCCUAAGCACCUCUACUUGGUUGAUGCUCGAAUCCGUGGAUGCAAGUGAUGAUAUAUGUGGUUGCAUGUUGAUUUUGGAGGAUCCGUUCGCAUGCACGGAGAAAUUUGGCCCUGUUCUGAUUUUUGGUGUUUUGAUCUGAUCUUGGAUGCAUCUUGUGUUAUUAAAAAGGAUAUUUGGUUGAAGGAAAUGUGAUGUCUAUAUCAUUGUGAAGCUUAAAUGGUACACACAUUUUGGUAAAAAGUGAUAGGUGCUCACUUAGGUUUGAGUAUUCUCUGUUUUCUAUCCAUACUGUUUUAUUUUAUUUAAUGUGUUCUGGAAUGUUAAAAAUAAAAAAAGGUAGUUGAUUUAUGUUGAUAUAUGGGUUGGUAGUAUCCUAUAAAAUUUUCAGAAUUUUUUAUGAUAAUAUUGUUGGAAGAAUAUGGAUUGAACCCUAUGUUCAUUCUCUGCAUUUCCAGUGAGGAUGUUCGUGCUCUGGAUCAAUCAUUAUUUUUCUCUGACAAUUUUUGGAGAGAUAAUUAAUUUUUGUGUUCUUAAGAUCAUAAGGAGUAUGUCCAAAUAUUUUUGUGUGAAAAUAUUAAUGUCAACAAUUUUAAUAAAAUCUAGAAAAGGAUGAAUGUUCUUUGAUGUUCUGGGUUUUUCUGGGUGAAUGUUGAUACGGUUCUUCACUUACUAGGAUGAAUCUCUGUUGAAUUUUGGGGAAAAAAAUAUUAGGAUGUUUCUGUAUUUGUUUGAUGCAGCUGUAUAAAGCAAUAAAGAAAUAAUAGCUCAAGCUUUUGCUAUAAAUGUGUGGCAGGAAUUGAUCCUACACAUACGAGUUCCUCUAUGCUGUUCUUUUAUUUCCUCUUGUCUAACUUCAUAUAAAGAAUUUUGUAGUCCUUCGGAAUUCCAGUGAAAAGAAGUUGGGAAUGGAGAACAUCUAACUUUCAUCAAUGCUUCCAUCCGAAAAUUACCACACUCAACGUAAUCUACCACCUAUGCUCAAUAACUUGGGGUAUUCAUGAGUGUAAUUGCUGCCUAGAUUAUUUUAACUUUUGAGUUCUGGUGGACACUGCAGUGAGGAACAAUUCAUUUGAUGAGAUGUUCCUGCUGGUGGGAUUGGUACUCUAGAUGAGGUGUUUAAGAUACAGGCAUGCACUGAUUCAGCUUGAAUGGAUUGGACCAGAGCUCUUUGUGUUCUCUUCUAGAAGAAGUGUUUGAGAUACAGGCACUGAUUCAGCUUGAAAUGAAUUGGAGUAUGCCUUAUUUCUCUUUGUCUACAUCACACUGAUAGGUGUUAGACAUAAAAUUAUGGCUAAAUUACUAUGUUGGUCUUGUAUCUCUAUUUUAUAUUGUAAUUUAAGCUUCUAUUUGUUAAAAGUUACAAAAUGAUAUUUUAUUCAUUAAAAGUUGUAAAAUGGUUCCUUACAUAAUUUAUUUAUUGUAUCUUUACUUCUGAAGUAAUGUCUUUUCCAGUUGUUUUGGAUAAGUAAAAAAUAAUUAUUUUAAGUUAUAAUUAAUAUUCACACACUGGUAGACCCAAAGAUAGCAGAGACAAUAAUGUGUUUUAGGUGGCAUCUUCAAUUUGCAAGACAGCUAGAUUGAGAAAGGAUAAAACAAGGCAAGAAGCCAUGUGCAAAGGACUGUUAGAUGAUUAUUGAUUGCAUUGUAUUGAGGAAUUCUUUUGAUUAGUAUGAUCUAUUUUUCACAGGCUGAGAUGACAACAAACUUUCAUCUCAAGUUUGGCACCUUGUUUCCCAUGAUAUAUUUAAUUUCCUCAAACUUUUUUUUUUUGCAGUAUUACAUCUAAUAUUCUAGUUUAUAUAUAUAUAUAUAUAUAUAUAUAUAUAUAUAUAUAUAUAUAUAUAUAUAUAUAUAUUAUAGUUUAAAAAGCUCUUUUUGAUCUCCUAAUAUAUAAAUUUCGUGUAUGAUACGACUGAUUGUUGUGUUCAUUCUAACAUGAAUUUAUUCAUUUAUAUGCAAAUUAAAAUAGAUGAAAAGGAUAAAACAUUGGACACGGAAAAGUUUAGGAAUGUUGAUCGGUGGUAAGAUAAUUUAAGGAUCAAAAUCAUAAAUUAUAAGAAAUUUAAGGAUAAAAAAUAUUUUAUCAAAAAAAAAUUAUAAGGACAAAAAGUCAAUUUUUUUAUUAAAGAUUAAAUACAAAAUUAAAAAAAGUUAAGGGCCAAAAGUAUAUUAUGUCUGUCAAAAAUACUAAUUAUUCAUCUCACGUCCACCAAAUUUUCUUUUUUUUUAUUUUGCUCCUUUCUUUUUAAUAUAUUACUUAUCACUUAUAUCACUUUGUCUCUGUAUCUUUUUUCUUUUCUCUUUCAUCUUUCCAUCUCAAUUCAUCCUAAAACGGGGUAGAAGAAUAUCAUAGUUCUAUUUCUUUUCUUUUGUUAGAACAAGACCUAAUGAAUGAAGGAAGACUUGGCUGCAGGGGUAAACAUGCAUGUUAUAUCCAUCAAAUGAAUUUUUUAAUAUACCAAAAAAAUGUUAGUGAAAAUAAAAUAACAUUACUAAAAAGAAAAGAAAAGAUUAUAUAUAUUAGACCAUGAAAAAAUGAAUAUAUUGAAUUAGAGUUAGAGAUAUUCGAAAUCAAGCAAAAGAAAAAUACUCCGACGAUAGAAUAAAUCUUCAAGACUUGGGUAUAUUUCUUUUUCUUGGAAGCAGAGUCUAAUGACAAAGAAAAUACAAAAUGACUAACGGAGUGAAGUCAGUUGCUGAAUUAACAUACAACGGAAGAGAUAGAAGCUGGGGCAAUAUAAAAAAAUUAAAAAUAAUAAAUAAAUAAAUUGGAAAAUAAAAAUGUGGCCACUUUAUCUCUUCUUUCAUGUUUGACCAAAAAGAAGACAUAUCUUUUUUCCAUAUGGUUUAACAUUUUUUUUUUCUCACACUAGCAUAUUAAUAAGUUGCUCGAUCUGUUUUUUAGACACGUUAAAAAAGUCUCAUUUUUUUUAAAAAUCAUCUGUAUACAAUUAUUAGCGGCAAAGCUAGCAUAUAUAUACGAACUCUUAGGGGCGAAAAGUGGUUUACAAAAAUAUGAGCCUUAAGUGCUAAAUGAAAAAUCAAAAUGAAAUUAUUCCUUUAAAACAAAUAAUCUGAUAAUCACAUUUUGACAUUAGCUGGACCACAAUAUCACAACUUGCUCGCAAAAGAGACGCUGCAAAGCUCAAAGUCUUCGUCUCCGCGUACACAGUGCACUAAGUUACAAAAUAUCAUCUCAGUAUGAUAUAGAUAAAAAGAAUUUAUAAAAAAAAAUCUGAUAACCGACACCUGUUAAUCAUGACUAUAGAACUUAUAAAUAGAGAAUCCUGUUAAUUUUAAAAUUUUAUUGAAAUUAUAUGGUUAAGAUAUUAUCAUAAACAGUGUCCGUGUCAUUGUUUGGCUAAGUACAUUUAUUGGCUAUAUAACGUUGCAGAACAUCAAGUUUUGCACUCACAACAAACCAAAAAACAGAGCUAGCUAGCAAGACUAAAAUGGCAGAAACUGCAGUGUCCUUGGCAGGUCAGCAGGCGCUUCCAAAAAUAUUGGAAGCUGUCAAAAUGUUGAGAGAUCUCCCAAAAGAAGUUAGAGACAUUACAGAUGAACUUGAAAGCUUUCAAGAUUUCAUCAAUGAUGCUGAUAAAGUGACUGAAGCCGAAGAAGAUGAUGGAAGGCGUCAUAGAAUAAAAGAAAGGGUGAUGCGGCUGAGAGAAGCAGCUUUUCGCAUGGAAGAUGUCAUCGAUGAAUAUAACAUCUCCUGUCAGGAUAAGCAACCUGAUGAUCCUCGAUGUGCAGCUUUACUAUGUGAGGCUGUUGCCUUCAUCAAAACUCAAAUCCUUCUCCUUCAAAGUGCGUAUAAGAUUCAGGAUGUUAAAUCCCUUAUUCGUGCUGAAAGAGAUGGUUUCCAAAGCCAUUUUCCUUUAGAGCAAAGACAAACCAGUUCUAGAGGAAAUCAAGAUAUCACAUCGCAGAAACUUAGAAGGGAUCCUCUCUUUAUUGAGGAAGAUGAGGUUGUGGGGCUUGAUGGCCCUAGAGGUAUAUUGAAAAAUUGGUUGACAAAGGGAAGAGAAAAACGCACUGUCAUCUCUGUGGUGGGAAUUGCAGGGGUGGGAAAAACAACUCUUGCCAAGCAAGUUUAUGACCAGGUGCGUAACAAUUUCGAGUGCCAUGCGUUGAUCACAGUUUCUCAAUCCUUCUCUGCUGAAGGAUUGCUGAGGCAUAUGUUGAAUGAGCUUUGCAAAGAAAAAAAGGAGGACCCUCCCAAGGAUGUUUCUACCAUCGAAUCGUUGACAGAAGAAGUCAGAAACCGCUUGCGCAACAAGAGGUAUGUUGUCUUGUUUGAUGACAUAUGGAAUGAAAAAUUUUGGGAUCACAUUGAAUCUGCUGUAAUUGAUAAUAAAAAUGGAAGUAGGAUAUUAAUCACAACCAGGGAUGAGAAGGUUGCAGAAUAUUGUAGGAAAUCAUCAUUUGUUGAGGUGCAUAAGCUAGAAAAACCUUUAACUGAAGAAGAAUCUUUGAAAUUGUUCUGUAUGAAGGCAUUUCAGUAUAGUUCCGAUGGAGAUUGUCCAGAAGAACUUAAAGAUGUAUCUCUUGAAAUUGUUAGAAAGUGUAAAGGUUUACCUCUAGCAAUAGUGGCCAUUGGUUGUCUUUUGUCUCAAAAAGAUGAAAGUGCACCCGAAUGGAAACAGUUUAGUGAAAAUCUUUGUUUAGACCAGUUGGAGAGGAAUUCUGAGUUAAAUAGUAUAACAAAAAUUUUAGGUCUAAGUUAUGAUGAUUUGCCGAUCAAUCUCAGAUCAUGUUUGUUGUAUUUCGGAAUGUAUCCGGAGGACUAUGAAAUUAAAUCUGAUAGAUUGAUUAGACAGUGGAUAGCUGAAGGGUUUGUCAAACAUGAAACCGGAAAAACAUUAGAAGAAGUUGGGCAACAAUAUUUAUCAGGGUUGGUCCGUAGAAGCUUGGUGCAAGUAUCCUCAUUUAAAAUUCAUGGCAAAGUUAAAAGGUGUCAUGUUCAUGACUUAAUACACGACAUGAUCCUUAGAAAAGUCAAGGAUACAGGAUUUUGUCAGUAUAUUGACGGGCCUGAUCAAUCUGUAUCAAGUAAGAUUGUUCGACGCCUGACAAUUGCAACCGAUGAUUUUAGUGGAAGUAUAGGAAGCUCACCCAUUCGGUCAAUUCUUAUCAUGACAGGAAAGUAUGAAAAAUUAUCUCAAGACUUGGUAAACAAAUUCCCUACAAAUUACAUGGUACUGAAGGUACUUGAUUUUGAAGGUUCUGGUUUACGUUAUGUUCCUGAAAAUUUGGGGAAUUUAUGCUACUUGAAGUAUUUAAGCUUCCGGUAUACAUGGAUAACAAGUCUACCAAAAUCCAUUGGCAAGCUCCAGAAUUUGGAGACCUUGGAUAUAAGAGACACAAGUGUGUCUGAGAUGCCAGAGGAGAUUAGUAAGCUUAAAAAGCUACGUCAUCUUCUGGCUGAUUAUAGGUGUUCAAUUCAAUGGAAGGAUAUUGGAGGCAUGACAUCCCUAGAAGAGAUACCUCCAGUGUUUAUAGAUGAUGAUGGAGUGGUCAUUAGAGAGGUAGGAAAGCUAAAGCAGUUAAGGGAACUGUGGGUGGUAAAAUUUAGGGGAAAACCCGAAAAGACUUUGUGUUCCGUAAUAAAUGAGAUGCCACUCUUGGAGAAACUACAUAUUUAUACAGCUGAUUGGAGGGAAGUAAUUGACUUGUACAUUACGUCACCUAUGUCUACACUUUGGCAGCUUGUCCUAUGGGGGACGUUAACAAGGUUGCCAAAUUGGAUUUUACAGUUCCCAAAUCUUGUGCAACUGUCUUUGGUGAGCUCCAGGUUGACUAAUGAUCCAUUGAAUUCACUAAAAAAUAUGCCAAGGUUGUUGUUCCUCGAUUUAAGUAACAAUGCUUAUGAAGGUGAAACUUUGAAUUUUCAAAGUGGAGGGUUUCAGAAACUAAAGCGACUGGAACUCAGAUAUUUGGAUCAAUUGAAGUGCAUCCUUAUCGACAGAGGAGCACUGUGUUCUGUGGAAGAAAUUGUUUUACAAGACCUCUCCCAACUCAAAACAGUUCCCUCGGGAAUUCAACACUUGGAGAAGCUUAAAGAUCUCUAUAUCAACUACAUGCCAACUGAAUUGGUGCAGCGCAUUGCUCCUGAUGGAGGAGAAGACCACUGGAUCAUCCAAGAUGUGCCCCAUGUACGUAUUUGGAGCAGGGGUGCUGAAGAACCUUCGCAUAUAUUCGGCAGAAGUCAUCAUUAAGAUGCGUCCAAAUUUGAAAAUAGAAGGUGCGUCUUUUUCACAUCUAUAACUUUGUAGAAUGACAUUCGUGGCCUUUUUCUUUUCUUCAAUAAAAAAUGCAACCAUUAUCUAAUUCCUAAAAUAAUUACUUUUGCCUCAUUUUCUCUUCUAGUAUUUGCUUCAUUUUUCUUUCUCUACAACAUCUCACGUACAAGUUAGGGAUAGAAUUGUCUGACAAGUAUAUGCCUACACCAACCAAAGUUAACGUUUCUUCAUUAUAAGAUUCUCACCAUUAUAAUCCUUUCUAUUAUUGUGCUCAGAAUUGGUAGAUGUUGACCUCAACUGGAUUGAGUUUUUUAUUUCCAUGUUGAUAAAUACUUGAAAAUUUUCAUUGUAUCAUUUUAAGAAGAAAUUAACUUGGUGUUUUUAUAGGGUCGUAAGCAUAUACUUCGUGUAAAUGUUAUGGGUUUUUAAAGUUCCAUUACGAUUGAAGCCCAAUGUGGAUUUUUUUCAUAAAUUAGAUUGUGUUAAAUGUUCCUAAUUUUGAUGCUUUGAAGUUUGACCUACUUUGUACAACCAUGAAUUUUAGGAAAGCAAUGAGGGAAGAUUGUAAGAGGUGUUCCAAAUUCAAUGUUUUCGACGUUCCAAUCAUGUGGUUUUUUGAGUGUUAAUUAUUGCGCUUAUGUUAGCGUUAUUAACACCAACACAAUACGAAGAAGCUAAAAAUAGUGUUCCUACAAAGGCAGACAAUUUUUGACAACCGGAAAACUCAAGAUUCCCUCAAGUUCUUUCUUUUGCGGCCCGUGAAAUGGUGGAUGCAUGAGUGGAUUUGAGGCAUCAAAUUGAUUUUUUAAGCUUCCUUCUUCUCUUUCUCUUGUUUCCCUUUUUUUCUAAAAUGUGUACUCAAAUUUUUGUUAACUUGAUGUAAUUUGAAUUCUUACCUAUAAUUCAAGUUCAUUUCUUUUAAAUUGAUUAUUUGUCUUUGUUUUAAUUUAAUGCCUUUAUAAAUUGGCAUUUGGUCACUUAUAGUGCGUUGAUCGUAUAUUCCUAUCGACAACUGUGAAAUUGAAAUAAGGAUUGAAUUUAAGAUAAAAUGCAACAAGGUUGGAGAUUCUAUAUAUAGGAAUAAAUAUCAACAAUUACGAUAAUUUAGAUAUUCUUAAACCUAAUGAUUGUCCUAAUUGAGUAAUUCUAAAGAUUUAAAAUUUCAAUUGCAGAAAAGAGUUUUUGAGUUAAGAUAUAUUCACCUUCAAUUACAGUAGUAAAAAAUAAAUUCAGUUUCUCAUUAUGCUUCUAGAACUUGAAUUGGAGUGAAAAUUUGGGUUGUACGUGUUAAGCUUGGGGUGAACUCGUAUUGUAACAAGACAUGUUUGAUUUUGUCUUAGCACUUUAAUACUCUUAGCACAGUACGUACUUCAGCAAUUUUGGUACCCAAACUUUUAUGUUCAGGUUUGAUCCCAUAUUUUUCAAAAACAAUUUAAUACUCGAAUAUAUAUUAUUAAAAUCAAGUUAUAUAUCACUUAUUUGGAGUUAGAUAAAUUUUUCAAGGCUUAAUUUUAUCUUUUUGUGUCAUUCAUUAUUUAUUUUAUUUAAUUUCUUCCUCCUAAUAAUAAAAUCUUUAAUUUAAUCGCUUAAUUCACUUGACAUUGUUUAUUAAUAGUGGGAUGAGAUUGAAUCAAACAAAGGAACAAAUUAAAUUGUUUAUUAAAAUUUAAAAAACAAACAGUGUGAACAAGAAGUUUAUUGAGGGGUCAAGUUGCACCGUUUGAAAAUUAAAGCACUAAAUUAAAUUGUUGAUUAAUAGAGGACCAAUGCUAAAUAAAGAAAUAGCACGACAAAAAAGUAAUGUUUUUUUUUACUUUUAAAAAUUUUGAAAAUUUUAUUGAAUUCUAAAAUAUUCAAUUAACUUGCCUAAUUUUUUGUUUAUUCACUCUUUUUUUUCCUUUUAAUCCUUGAUGUUUGAAAACUUCAAAACUCUUUUUGAUCACAAACAUAUUUUAACUCUCAUAAAACAACACAACAAUGUUUCUAAAAUCGGACUUUUAUAAGUUAUUGAUAAAUCACUUUGUGAGUGAUAUUUUGUACAAACUUUUAUGUUAUUUUGUAUGCAUUUUCUUGAUAGAAUUUACAAUUGGACACUAGUUUUGUAUUCCAAAAGUAUAACCACUCAAUUGAGUGAAAGAGUAGGAAAUUAUACAAAUUUAUGAAAAUUUAAGAACUUUACAUAACUUGAUUACUAUCGUGGUACAUUGAUCACGGUCGUGGUAAUCAGCAUGAUCACAAUAAAGUGAUAAGAGUCCUCCCAAACAGCGUCAAGAUCCAACAAUAGCCAUGGUAAAUUGACCACGAUCAUGGUAAAUCAAGAGGCUUAUAGUCAAUUUAUAAUGGUUCAAGGCUUCAGCGUCACUUCUAACCACGAUUGUAGUGCUCCUUUUCAAACAAAUAUCUUGAGGAAGCUAUAUAUAGGUUUCUAGACUAUGUAAAAAUCAUUUUUCAAUUAUUUUUAGUUUUAUUCUUAUCUUUUACAAAUUUGAGACAAUCUUGAAAGCUUUUAAGAGCCGAAGAACUUAAACAACAUCGCUAGAAUGGAUUAUGAUCAUUGUUCCUACUUAUUGGUAUGUUUAUGUUUAUUUUAUCUAGGAUUGCUAGUGCUGUUCUGAUCAUGAGGAGCUACUCCUCCUAGUCCGAAGAUUAUUAGAUAACUUUUCAUUUGUACCAUUCUCCUCAUUUUAAUGAAAUUUCUCAUUGAUUUUAUUUAAAUUAGUUCUCUUGCUUUUACUGUUUAUUUGAAACCAAUCAUUUUAAUACUUAAUCAAUUGCAUAAUACUAAUCAUGUAAUUGGUAGAUUUUGGUAGAGUGUUUUAUGUCAAAUUGCAUGAUCAAACUCUUUGGGUAAUCUCCAAUACAUUAGUUAAUCUUUAAUUAAUUUUUCCUAUAAUUGAUUUUCUUUUGACUUAAAUUGAUAGAACCAAUGAUCAUUGGGGUAUUGAUUUAGGCAAGAAGCAUCUUCUAACCUGGAUCAUAGACUUUAGUUGAUUUUGUGAAUGAGUAAUUAACUAGAGAAAGCAUUUUAUUACAACUAGGGUUGAAGGAAAAUUAGUACUAGUAAGUCAUAACCCCUAAUCACUCUUAUCAUCAAUGAACUCUUUCUUUAUAUUCGUAUAUUUGUUUACUUAUAAAUCCAAAACCAUAAAAAUAUUUAAAUUAUCUUUUUAAUUACUUCAACUGUUAAUUUAAUAAACUUGACUAAUUGAGAAUACAACUCGUCAUUUGGGUUUGAUAUCCAUACUUUCGAAACCACUAUUAUGAUUGCGUAAGGUACACUUGAGGUAUGACAAACAUAUUGGACAUACAACGAUGGCAACAUAUGAGUGUGUUUGGAUGAGGGAAUUUAAAAUUCUGAGGAAUUUUAAAUUCUAAGAAUUUCAAAUACCUCAAUUGAAAUUCUUUUAUUUUCAAAAUUUUGUGUUUAUAUAAAAAAAUUAAAAUUGAGGGUGAAAGAAAAUGAGUCACGAGUUCAAGAAUACGAUUUCGGAAUUUUAGGUGGAAAAUAGGAUGAAAGUUAUAAAAGAAAUGCGCGAAUUUUUUGGAAAGUUCUAAUGUAAGAAGAGAAUUUCAAUUUUUCACCUUUUAGAAGGAAGUUAAAAUUCCACAUUUUUAGUGGUUUAAAAUUAUGUUUUAAAAUUCCAAAAAUUUAAAUUCUUCAAAAAAAACAUCCAAACAAUAAAUUUUAUAUUAAAGAAAUUUAAAUUUUCUGAUAAAUUACUUUCCUUAGUUAAAAUUCUAUAUUAAAGAUAUAUUGAUAAAGAAAACUGGAUUCGAGGCCAGCCUCCAAACAAGGCAAGAAAGAAAGCAAACUUAGCUUUUUUCAUAUCAUGUCUGCCUUACAAUUGCUUUAUUUAUACUAAUUCCUUGCUAACAGAAUUUGUCAUUUUGUGUCAAGGAAUAUUUUAGGAAAUCAUUGGCUAGCAAUUUACGAUUACGCUUGUCUCCCUAAGGCCAACCAGCCAUCAUCUAGCAAUUCUUCAUUCCAGGUCAGCUUCCUUUCUCGCUUUUCUUUCUCAUGUGUAGUCUAUGAGGUAAGAGGGCUUUGUGAUGGCCCUCUUUACUUUCUUGCUAUCUGUACCCUUGGUUUCUGUGUUUGUACCUCUAUUUUGUGUUCUCUGUUAACUGCCCCAGCUUUUGUAUCAUUCGUCGGCCCUUGUAAAACUACCUUGUCCUCAAGGUGAUAAUCCUCACAUAAUUGAUCCCAAUUCUCCCACGAGGUGUCAUCUGGGGAUAGCCCUUCCCAUUGCACCAACACUUCCCAAGGCCCUUGUUCUAAAGCUCGCUGAUAAUCUAAUAUGGCUAGCUAAGGGAGUAAUGAUUGGUUGGUGUUGAACAAAUUGUUUUGGAAAGUGAACUUCCUGAAUAUGUUCUGGGGAGCCUUUGAAUGCUUUCAACUGGGAGCGGUGAAAAACAGGAUGUAUGCGAACUUCUUCCGGCAAUUUGAAGCGGUAUGCCACAGGUCCUAUGCGUUCCAGAACUUGAAAUGGUCCGUAGAAUCUCUUAGCAGACUUGCCCAUGAUUGCUUGUGGUCCCUUAGCGGAGACUUUUUGGUGGGGCCUUAAUUUAAGCAUAACCCAAUCUCCUGGUUGGUGGAUCACCUCUCUUUGUUUAGCAUCUGCAGUUAUCUUCAUACAGUCUUGUGCUUUGAGAAGCUUCUUGCGAAUGGCCUGAAAUGUUUCUUCUCUGUUGGUCAACAUUUUGUCAACUGCAUCCAGAGCUGAAGAACCCGCGAUAUAAUCUGGAAAAUUAAAGGAUUUGCGCCCAAAUGUGAUCUCAUAUGGAGUGGUGCCUGUUGCCGCAUUCCAUGAAGUGUUAUGAGACCACUCCACCCAGAGAAGAAACUUGCCCCAUUCCCUUGGCUGAUGAUGAACAAAUGUGCCUAGACAUUGCUCUAUGACCCUAUUUAGCACCUCCGUUUGACCAUCACUUUGUGGGUGAUAAGCGGAGCUUAUCCUUAGCUGUGUGCCACUCCGACGAAACAACUAUUGCCAGAAUUUGCUAACAAAUAGGGGGUCGCAGUCGGAGACCAGGCUGCAAGGGAGACCGUGAAUCUUGUCCAUGAUUUCCAUGAACAACGAGGCUACCGCAUGGGCUGUGUGUGUCGCUAAAAGCAUGCCAAGAUGAACGCCUUUUGAAAAUCGAUCAACCACUACUAGUAUUAACUGUGUUGUUGUGAUAUGGUGGGAGCCUAGUGAUGAAGUCCAGGGAUAAGUCUUCCCAAGGUCGAUGGGGAACUGGCAGAAGACAUAGUAAUCAUGCUGCUCUUUUUGUCUCGUACUUAGCAUGCUGACAAUAAUACAUUGCGAGACAAACUUCGUGACAUCUUCUCAAAGUCCUGACCAUUCAAAGUUUUCCGUCAAGCGAGUUAUCAUUUUCGCAAUCCCCAUGUGGCCUCCCAAGGGUGUUGUAUGAUACUCCACCAGUAAUGUGGGAAUUAGGGGCAAGUCCUUUGGUAGCCAAAUUUGUCCCUUCCAGAGGAUCAAGUUAUGAACAAGAGUGAAUCCAGAGUGCUUGUCGGGGUCCGCCAUGAUUGCUUGUUGGAGAUGCCGAUACUCAAGAUGAUCCUCCCAUUGGUGGCGCAAUUCUUCAAAGAAAAGAGGGUAAGGGACAAAAAGGCUCAUGUAGAAUGCAUUGGAACCACGCGAGCGCCCUGCCUUCCAUGUAGAAUGAAACUAUGGUAAGUCUUUCAUUCUUUGGUGUGCCAUGGUAUUCGAAGAAUUGGUUGAUUUUGAAAAUCCAACCAAGUGGUUCGGUGCCAUCAAAACGAGGCACAUCUAAUUUCAUUCGGUGAUUGUUUGCAGGUACCGAUGGUGAUGGUGGAGGUGUUGGAGAAGAAGAUGACGAGAGGAUGAGAGUGACACGAUUAAGGAGUUCAUCAAUUUUCUGAGUGAGUAAGUGCAUGGAUUCGCCGAGGGAUAGUUGAUGAUUGGUGAGUUUGAGUAAAACUUCAUCAAGCUUAUCAAAGGUACCCAUGGUGCGGACUGGAUGGAACGAUAGCACCAAAAUUGAUAGAGAAAACUUGAAAGAAAACUGGAUUCGAGGCCAGUACCUCCAGACAAGGCAAGAAAGAAAGGAAACUUAGCUUUUUUCAUAUCAUGUGUGCCUUACAAUUUCUUUAUUUAUACUAAUUCCUUGCUAACAGAAUUUGUCAUUUUGUGCCAAGGAAUAUUUUAGGAAAUCAUUGCCUAACAAUUUAUGGUUACGCUUGUCUCCCUAAGGCCAACCAGCCAUCAUCUACAAAGGCAGACAAUUUUUGACAACGGAAAACUCAAGAUUCCCUCAAGUUCUUUCUUUUGCGGCCCGUGAAAUGGUGGAUGAGUGGAUUUGAGUCAUCAAAGGGCAAGAUUCAUCAAAUUGAUUUUUUAAGCGAUAUAUAUGUAAUUUAGAUAUCUUCUCGAUUUUCCUAUAAUGGAAAACAUGAAUAAACUAAUAGGAAAUUGUAAUUCUACCUUAAUUAGUGAUUUUGAAUGAGAUUUGAUUAAGUAGUUAUGUUACAUAUUUGGAAAACUCUAUUUAUUGUACAUAAUAAUUAUAUUGGGUUCAAAGAGAUUAUUUUUAAUGGAAAAUAUCUUUUCUUUGUUGAAUUAAGGCAUUUUUCUUCACUUCUCCCUUAAAAAAAUUGAAAGAAAAAAAAAAGUGCAUCCCCUUCGGCGUCCCCUGUCCCCUGCAGGAGACAAUCAUAGAAGAAAGUCGAGCCACCUCUCUCUCUCUCUCUCUCUCUCUCUCUCUCUCUGGCGGCAAUAUAUAACAAUUAAAAGGAAAAUAUAAGCCAUUAGUAUUAUUCAGUAACAACAAGAAUCAUUGAACCAGUCAACGCUUACAUUCGAAUAUAAUAUAUAUUGUGUGUAUUGUGUUGCAUAUUUUAUAACACAUCUUCAAUUAUUUACAUAUAAUAUCAUUCCUGUCUAAAGUCUUCUAUAGCACAUGAUGAUUAAAAAAAUGUCCGAGACUCACCCUAUAACAAUACUCAUAAUUUCCGUUGACAUUUCACAUACUCAACUCAUAGAUUAAAGGAGAGGAGAUGUAUGGUGAAAUUGAAAGGUUCAUCAAAGUAUGGAUUUCAGCCAUCUUAGGUUUAUGUUAUUGUUAUUACAUAGCUGCAAGAAUACCAAAGGGCUUCUUGAGACUUCUCUCCCUUCUCCCUAUUCUCUACCUCUUCAUCAUCCUUCCCUUGAACAUCUCUUCACCUAACUUAGUUGGAUACACUUCCUUCUUCCUUGUUCAACUUGGCAUUUUCAAGCUUCUACUUUUUUCCUUCAACAAAGGCCCUCUUGCCCUAUCACCCCCAAAUAUUGUCCAUUUCAUUUCCAUAGCUUCCCUCCCCAUCACCCCAAAACAACAUCCACCAACCAAUAAAAAUAACACCACCAACACCCAAAAGCCAAAAUGGCUAUUGCCCUUAAAAUUGCUUAUUUUUGCAAUGAUCGCACGUUUUUAUGAGUACAAUGAAUACUUCCACCCUCAUUUCAUAUUAGUCCUCUAUUGUCUUCACUUGUACCUUAGCUUAGAGCUUGUUUUUGCUCUUAUUGCAACCCCGGUUCAAACCCUUUUUGGCUUAGAGAUAGAACCACACUUCAACGAACCCUACCUUUCAUCCUCACUUCAAGAUUUUUGGGGUCAUAGAUGGAACCUUAUGGUUAGACAUGACAAGAAAACUCAUACCGGUGGGUAUCCGCCCGAAUCCAUCCUGACUUUAAUGGAUAAUACCCGAGUUAACCGGAUAUAGGUUCGGGUUCGGGUUCGGGUUUGAGUUCGGGUUUUCCCCGAUAAUCAAAGGUUGGGUACGGAUACGGGUAUGAGAUUACUAGAUCUGUCCCGAACCCGAACCCCUCCCGCCACUUAAAAUCUUUAAAACUUUUGCAUAAUUUAAUCAAAAGACAUAGAAUUUUUAUUACUCGUUAAUUUUAUUUUAGAAUUUUUACAUAAUUUAAUAUUAUUUUCUUAACGAUUUUUAUAAACACAUGCGCUAUGAUAAAUUUAUAGAUAUAUAAGUGGUUAAAAAUAAAUGUUUAACAAUCAAUUUAUUUUUUCUAAAAUCAAAUUUUUAAUAUUUUUUUACAAAAAAAAAAUUAUUUUUCUAUUUUGAAUUGGGUAUGGGACGGAGUCAGGGAUACCCGAUACCCGACAGGUACCCAAUGGGUACGGGGAUGGGAUAAUAAACUUUAACCCGUCGGGUAUCGGGUACGGGUAUGGGGAUAUGUUAGGGAGUCGGGAUAAGGGAUUGUGGAGACAAUAUCCGUACUCGCCCCACCCCAUUGUCAUGUCUACUUAUUGUUUCUCGUCUUCUACGCUUUACAGUAUACAACCAUGUAAGCUGUACGAUUACGGGUUUAGUGGGUCCCUCAUGUGCCACGUCAGCUGCCAUGUUGGCCACGUUCCUUGUGUUUGGGCUUGUGCAUGACUUAAUCUAUUAUCAUGUUACAUGUGUACCUCCCACGUGGGAAAUUAUGUGUUUUUUUGUGCUUCACGGUGUGUGCACGGUGGCCGAGGUGGCUGUUAAGAAGGUGGUUCUCCGUUGUGGAUGGUGGCUGCACCGUGCCGUGUCAGGGCCACUCGUGGUGGCAUUCUUGGCUAUCUCAGUAAAUUGGCUGUUUUUUCCUCAAUUGUUGAGGAAUGAAAUGGAUAGGAAGUCCAGUGAAGAGUAUGUAAUUUUGGUGGAUUUUGUUAAGUCUAAGAUAUACCAUUGAGAAUGUUUAACUCUUGAGAGUAAACGUUAAAGGAUGAGAGAGACUUAUAAUUGUAAUAUUUACCUUAAAGGGUAAAACAUUUCGUUUUUUUUUUAAGAAUUAUUUAAUUGUGAAUAAGGCAUAUAUGUUGAAUAUGUUGAAAAAUGAUGAGUGUGACUCAACAGCUAACAUCUGAAAAUGUGCAAGUCUAAAAAUAUUAAAGUAUUUUAUGUUUUUAUUGGAUUUACGUGGGUGUAUAAAAAAAUAUAUGGGUGUAUGAGUUUAGGUUUGAAGGCAAAAAAAUCUUUAUUUAAAUAUUUGAAAAAAAAAGAAACUUAAUUGCACAUAGUGUUUCAAAUGAAAGACACACAUACGUGGUUUAAAAAAAAAUACCAUCUCUAUCUUGGAUUAAUGCAUUGUUCUUUCUUACAAAAUUGGAAAAAAAAAAAAAAAAAGGAAAAGUGUGUCCCCCCUUGCAGCAAUAACAAUUAGAAAAAUAUCAUCCAUUAGGAGAUUUAUAAUUAAAGUGUGUCCCCCCUUGUAGCAAUAACAACUAGUUAGUAAUAAAUGAUUGAACUACUGUUACAGCUGGCUAAGUUUCCUUCUAGAUUAGUCAAAGGCAAGAUCGAGAGGCACAGAAGCGUGGCAAUUAAUUUGGGUAGCUAUAAUCUGCUGCCUGUAGAACUUCAGAAAUAAAAUUGUCUUUGGAAGUGGUAAUUUGUCGUUUGAUGACUUGCUUGGAAUCUGUAAGAUUUAGAACAUGAUCUUGGUUGCACGCCAGAAUAUUUAAAGGCUUCAGUUAUUCCUUGUUUGAGUGGUUAAACAGCCCAAUGAUGACUAUAAUGGUUUUUUUAUUAUUAAAAUGGAUUAAAAAUUAAAAUUAUCAUAAUGGAUUCAUCAAGAAAGUAUUUAUGAAAAUAGAUGAUUUUUGUCACAUAGGAUUAUAAAAAUGACACCUUAUGUUUUUUGUGUAUUUUAUAGCAUUUUUGUCAAUGCUAAAUUCUCGUAUACUCCAUUUUUGUCAAUGCUAAAUUCAUAUUUAACGAUUAGAUCUUAUGUCACAGUUUUACUCAAUUUAAUGAUGAUCAAGCUAAUAUAAAAUACUUAUAAAAUUAAACUCUUGUCUUUACAACAAUUUAAAAUAAAUAUAAAUGUAUAAUUAAUUAUAAAAAAAAAAAGAUACGUAAGCUUAGUAACGAAGAAUAAAGUAAUAAGAGUAUGUAUUUGUAUUUCUUUUGAUAAUGAAGAAUAUUUUUUUGAGACAAAAUAAGACGUAUAAAUUUCAAUUUUUGUAUAUAUAAUUUUUUGGUUGAGUGUCUUUCAGUAAACGACAUCAUGUUUUAAGAUUUUAGUGUCAGCCUCAACUUUUUGGCAUCUAGAGUUGAAUGGGAACAUUCUUUAGUUGUUAUCACUUUGUCCUGAUUGUUUUCUGCUAGCAAAAUAAAUUUUCAGAAAGUCUGUUGAAAGUCAUUCUAAUUAUCUAGAAUCAUGAGAUGCUCUUCAUCCUGAAGUAGUUAAUUGGUCAAGAUAUAUGCGGGGUGUUGAACAUGUACUGAUUUUCGUUGGCUUGAGAAGUUCUACUGUUUCAUUCACACAAAAAGCUCAUAGAUUCUAGUGGGGAUUCAAAGGAGGCUUUUAUGGGGAGGGGGAAAUGAGAAUAAAAAAAUAGCAUGGGUUAAGUGGGGGGAUAUUUGCAAGGAGUAGAGUGAGAGUGGGCUAGGAGUAAAUGAUAUAAGGUCAUUUAACGAGGCUUUGUUGAGAAAUGGAGAUGAAAUUUAUUCCAUGGUGAGGGGAGGGAGUUUUGGCAAGAAGUGUUAAUUUUGAAGUAUGGUGGUUGGAGGGGCAUUCUAAAUGAGGGAGAACAAAUUCAUGAGUCAUGGUGGUGGAGGGAUUUAAAGAGAGUUUGUGGAGGAAAAAAUGAGGUGAAAUGGUUGAAUGGGUUUUGUUGAUGGGUUUAAAACAAGGUUUUGGUUGAAUGAUUGGGUGGAUAGACAAAGUUUAGCUAAUAUUUUCCCUAGACUUUUUUACUAUCUCCGACCAAUAGGAGGAAGUGAUUGUUAAGAUGGGUUCAUGGAGAGAUGGUUCUUGGCGGUGGGAGGUGAAGUGGAGGAGGAACCCUUUUGUAUGGGAGACUAAACUUAUACAACAGCUUCAUCAAUUACUGGAAGGGGUCCAACUACAAAUUUCAGGAGAAGACAGAUAGUUUUGGAAGCAAUGCCCCUCAGGGCAGUUUUCAACUUCAUCGGCCUAUCACUUUAUUCAACAACUUGGAGGGGCGGGAGAAACUUGACAACUUUUUGAGCAGAUAUGGAAAAUUAAAAUUCCACCUAAAGCUAAAAUUCUUAUGUGGAGAAUUUUCAGAGAUAGAAUGCCAACUCUUGAUAACUUGGUAAAGAGAAAUGCCAUUGAUAGGUAUUGUGAUCAAAUGUGUCCUCUCUGUUUGGGUCAUCAAGAAUCUGCUCAACAUCUUUUCAUCUCUUCUAAUGCCAUUCAAGAUGUUUGGUUGGAAUGCAUCUCAUGGAAAUCUCUUUCUCUUGCACAGCCAAGUAGUUUGGAAGUUCAUUUCAGGUAAUUUGCAGGUUUAGGAGGUUCUAGAAUUGAGUCAGAAUUUUGGCAAGCAACAUGGGGAGCAGUGGUCUUUUGUGUGUAGAAAUUGAGGAACGCAGUUGUUUUUAGACAACAGUUAGUGGACAGAAAGAAAUUGAUAGAGGAAGUUAAAUUCCUUAUCUGGUCAUGGUUACAUAAUCUGGAUUCUGGUUUUAAUUUUUCAUUUGUUCAAUGGUCAUCUAAUCCAGCAGUUUGCGUACAUGGAUGGUUUGGCAGGACAUUAUGUAUGUGGCAAGUAGCUGAGUGCAGGAAAUUCGAUAAAAAAUGUGCAGGAAAGGGUAUGUGUAGCAUUGUGGAAUCUGUCAGGUGGAAAUGCUAAUUAUGGAGGUGAGUUCAUUAAUCUAUUUUGCCACAUACAUGCGAAGAACUUGCACUGUGUUAUUAUUAAGAAAACUUCUCUGCAUGAUAUAUGGCUUUUGGCAGUGGGGUAACUUCCACAUGACUUUGUUUUGCAUAAUUUUAUCCAGCAAAGACAUGUUAUAGCUGGUUAGUGGUGGGAUACUAUACUAUGAGAGGAAAUGAGUGAAUUACAAUACUCUGGUAUGUUGUGGAGCUUUGAACGGUUAUUUUUUAUUUAUGCAAUCAUCGCCUAAAUAUAUUGUAACUGCUGUCAUGAGCUGAUAGGGAAGUUCUAUGAACUUUUUGUAUUUACCUCUGGUACCCUUCUUUAUUACAUAUAUAUAACUUUUGCUGAUUAAAAAAAUGUUUUUUCGAUUUCUUGCUGACACUGUAAAAGAUAGUCAUUGAAGUUUAUUGUUUGUAUACUAGAAAUGGUAUAUUUUAGUUGAAUAAAUCAGAAAUAAUAAUAAAACAGAUAAUGUGUUUUGAGGUGCAAUAAACAGGCUCAAAUCAUUAAUAAUAAUAUUAAGAAUAUGUUGCUAUAAAGAUCUGCUGCAAAUCUUGGGUAACGUAAAACCAUUUUUUUUUUUUAAAUUAACGGGUAUUGCUUUCUAACUCAAAUCAUUUUAGCACCAUAUACUGCUGCCUUUUGGUUGACAUGCAAAUGAGGCAAGCUGAAGAUGCCAUAUUUGAAAUAGAAACCACGGAUAAAGAACAUACAAAUAUAAGAUUGGCCUAGUGGUUAGGAAAGAAGGACUUAAGGGUGAAGGAAGAAAGGAGGGAAGAGAGGUCAUAAGUUUGAAUCUCCACACUGAUAUUUUUAACGAAACUAACAUUUGCCCAUACAAAAAAUCACAUAAAGAACAUUGUGUAAUCAACAUGCUAUGAUUUAGCACAUUCCAUGUUACAAUGUGUCUCACCCUUAUAUUAUUUCUAAAAGUUUCCAUAAAGACUACAAGAAAGCUACAAAGAAGGCAAAAGAAAGGUGCAUAUGCUAUACACCUUAACCUUAUAUUAAUGAUGCAUAAAAAGCAAUAUACCCUUCUCAAUGAGAUGUAGGAAUUAUACCCUGGUUGCGUACACUUGUUUUCUUGGACAUGGGAUAUGCAAGUGCAGAUCGUUGCUUGGUUAACCCUUCAAUGAUAAAAGAAAGUGCCCCAUAAGCAAUGCAGCUCUGUAGAAGUGAUUGGGGUGUACCUGGAGAAUCCUAAAGGAUGAGUCAUAAUAACAAUAAAAACGUACAAGAGAAGAAAAUUAAAUACAUAUUUUUCUUUUUGGUGAAUAAAUUACAUACAUAUAGAGAUAGACUUAUACAAAAGAAUUGAUUGAAAUGCCUGAGUCACUAAAGCAGCUUUUUGUUUUGUUUUGUUAGACCAUUCAACAUAGUAAUAAACCUCAACCUUUCCCCAGCCACCAAUUGGAGACAAAAUUGUCUCAAGUGUUUGGCAUGAAGGAUCAUGUUUAUUCAUAGAUUUCAACAAUGAAAGACAAAUUAAAAUUCAUACCUUUGAGAAAAAAGGUUUGGUCAAAAUAGGUAAGAUUACGGUGACCUUUAUCCUUAAUUUCAAUUGGUGCAGAGACCAACAAGUUACUAAAAAUUUCAAGUAAAGGAUGAUAGUUCAUCAAUUAUUAAAAGAAGGGAUAUACCAGGAAAACUUGUAGCAAGACCAGCGCAGCAUCCAGCUACCCCAGCAUUAAUGGCUGCAGAUGUGAAAGGAAUCACAUUAUCAGUGAGAGAACAUUAUAUUGGCGAGGCUUUUUUAAGUUGGCUUCUAACAUAUUUGGCUGAAUUAGAAGUUUGUUUGCCAAAUUAAACCUCUUUGCCAAAGGAACAUAUUUUUAUGAGUGUUUUUGUAACACUUUUCAUGUAGCAUCUGAACACUACCUUAUCAUAAUUCCUUCUUUCUUUUCAUUAAUAGUUUCCAACUAACUUUUUAGCUUCCAACUAACUUAUAUGUUAAGUUUUGUCAAACACAUCAUUGAAAUUAAAUAUUUUAUACCAUCAUCCUUUCCUCGAAGUCUUCCCAAUAUGCAGACAACCAAACUAUCAACUCCGGAUAAAAUUGCAAAUGUCUAAUGAAAACGAAGACAAAAAAUGAAGAUUAUUAAUGAAUGGACAUGUUCAAAUAGGUAUUAAGUUUGCAAAGUAAAAAGCCGGGCAGAAAAUAAACAACAUUGAUCUCUGGUAUACCUUAGCAUUAGAUCCUGCUUCUAUAAAGGAUCCUUUAAAGCCUUUCUUCUUAAUCAAUCCAGCACCUGAAAACAGACCCAUUGAAAGCAUCCUUGAGCACGAACAGAAAUAUCGACCAACUAUCAAACUCUAAGAAUUUGAAUUUCUUGAUCAUAAUCCUCUGCCAGCAUUUCGAAGAUAGCAUAGAUACACAAAUAUUACCUAUGAUUGAAUAAAGCAGAAAAUUUAGUUCAAAAUCCAUUUCUCUAGUUACUUGUUAGGAAAAUAUUAUAUAGAUUCAAAAUUUUAAGUGAUGUUACACACUCACUCCUCUCCAUCUUCACUCAAAGGUAAUAAAUAACUAAUAACAGAAAAGAUUUGAAGGUGAAAUUAUCUACCAAUAGAUUCCUCUUUAAGUUGUGUACAGGAUAUAAACAAAACGGCAUAUACUCCCAAAUUACAAAUUUCUCAGAGGAUGCUAUAAAUUCAAGAAAGAAAAAACAAUUUCAAAUUGCAAAUUCCGUGUAGCCUAUUUGAUUAAGAAUAAAUCUUAGAUUUAGUUGCAAUUAAUUAAGUGCCUUUAGAGUUAUUCUCCUGUCAGAAAUGGAGAUUUACUUUCUAAAUCUUUAAUACAAAUCUUUAUUAUGUGAAUUACAAGUGAAACUCCAAUUAUGAUUGAAAAACAACAUUAAAAGUACCUAAGGUACUGCUUCUAAGAAAUUUAAAAUACCAGAAACAAGAGAAUGACGAAGAAAAACAGAAAAAAUAAAUGGUAACAUCACAAAAAGUAAACAUAAAGCACAUGCAAGUCCAAGUCAGAGAGAGGACCAUAGCCGAAAAGGGAGCCGGUGAGGGCGCCACAAGCAGUGCUAGUGGCGGCAGGGAGAAGAAGGGAAGCCGUGAGCGACGGAGUAGAGGAAGGACCUACAGAUUUUGUAUGAUUGGGAGCAUUGUUCACAUCACUAACCGAAUUAACUGUUACAUCCGAUGCCAUCACUUUUGAGUUUUGACGAUGUGGUUACCCUGCUCUUGACUUGAAUUUAUUCCACACUAACAACAUUACCUCUUUCAACAAUAAACUAAUCAACACUGCUAUUCACAAUUAUUAAUUAGCUAAGUAAAUAUUUAGGAACACAAGGUCCUUCUCUGACUAUGUCAGUUAUGCAAUCCUCAUUGUUAUUAACGAUAAUCAAAUUCUUUGAAGUAUGAAAACAAAGUUCUGUAUAGAAACCAACGAAAUGGGAUAUUUUUUCUUCCUUUUUUAUUUUAAAAAAAAAUCUCGCAAAGUAUAUAGAGUAAACCAAGCAGAUACACAAGAUAUCACCAUUUUAGUCCUAACCAUGAUUUGCAGAUCCUAAAUGACGACGCAAAUCUGCUAAGAGGCAUCCACAAAGUGAAAACGUUGGCUUAUAUGAAUCACUGGCUUAUAUCAAUCGAAUUGAAUCAUAGUGUUAAAUGAAAGGGAAAGUGCAAGUGCAUGAGCUAGUCCUGGUGCAUUACCAUCAACUACAACUGUCCACUCUUGUUCACUCUUGCUUUAAAUGAUUAAUUUUAUUCCAUUGAAGCUCAAUAUUCAUUUCAAAUGAUGAUUACAUGCUCUUUAAAUGAAUUACUGCAUUAACUUUUGACCACAAAACAUAACCAACUAUGAGCGUGAAAGCACACAUCCAAUUACAUGUUAUCUACUCAUGCAUUAUACAGUACAAACCAAAAAAGCCUACUAUUUUCAACAAUGUUUUAGGUGUGAUUGGUUUGAGGGUGAAACCAACCGAAAUGUAUCAACUGUAAGCUUUUCUUGAGGUAAUAAUCAAUGAUUAUUUUGGCUCCAUAAACUACUCGUUUUCAUUGUGUUUGAUACAGGUACAGGGUAUGAAGAAGAAGGUACCGAGGAAGAAGAAGAUAAGAGUUCAGCUCAAAAGAAGAAUGAGGGGGUGCAGGGAGAAGAAAAGCCCAAAAGAAGGAUUACUAAACCCAGCUACUUAAAGGACUACGUUUAGAAAGAAUUACAUAGCAGCCUCACACACUCAGCCUCAUACUUAAUAGGAAAUUGUUAAGAGAAAUACAUAACCAAUUCUGUUAUUCUAUAUUCUAGAAUGAUUCCUACUUAGCCAGCUCAGCACUAUUCUGUUAGGAAACCAUCUAUAUAAUACCAUGUAAUAAUAAUUACGAGGCAAUGAGAAUAUUCAAGCAUUUCCUUACCUUCUUAUCUUCUCUUCUUAAGGAGGAUUCUGGACCUCGAAUUCCAGAGUUAUCAGUGUUCCUAUUGGUAUUGAAGCUAUUAGUUUCAGGCUAUAAUAAAUUGUAGUAGCUGAAUGCGAUUGUUAGGGAAACAAACCCUUUUAACUACAAUGAACAUCAAAGACAGAACACACUAACAACACCACCAUAAAAAAGAAAUAUGGGAAGAACACAUCAAAGGAUAAAAAACACUAACUGCAACUCCAUAAAAUAGAAAUAGUAGAACAACACAAAUUUAACAUUUUCAGUACUUCUUGCUUAUGUCCACAAAAAUAUCUUAAUAAAUAUUCAUUAUCUCAAAUAAGUUUGGUUUAGGCUUACUAAUAUGUUGGGCCCGGCCCUGAGGAAUGGUCAACCAACAUAAUAUAAUUAAGUCCAUGCAUUCUUAAAUUUUAAGGGACGUACAGGUAUGAUAUAUGCAUGGUGCGAUUCUUGACAGUGGGUGUCUCUCGCCGAUAAUGACAUAAUUACGUAGAUGAGGGGGUGAGUAUGUUGUGUUUGAUGGUUAGUCUUGCAUCUUCCUUUGUGUAUUUAUUCUUAUGUAGAUUAAGAUGUAAGGCGCAGUCAUUUGUUGGGUAAUGCUUUCUUUUGAGCCUUAGGGGUAGGCUAGUAGUUCUUUGCAUUCCAUGUACGGGCCAAUGCAGCCACUUGUAUUUGCACUGCUUGUGCUUCUAAUUAUUAUUAUUAUUAUAUAUAUAUAUAUAUAUAUAUUAUUUCGUCGAUAAAAAGAAAAACUUAUCGUGUGACCCUAAUAUCAAAUAAUCAAUACCAAUCCACAAAAAGAGAAAGAAAUAACCUACUAUAUAGAGUCAAACAAGUAGUAUAUAAUUUGAGUAGUUUCAUGAAAUCAUAAGUUUUAAAUGUUAAGUUUGUGUUCAUCUUCUUAAGCUAUGAUAAAUGAAAUUAUAUAUAUUGAAAUGGAUUUUAUUUAAAAAUAAAUAGAAUUUUAGAAAAACAAUGAGGUUUUUGUGAUUAAAUAAAUCAGGAGAAAUAAUUUUAUUAAUUAAAAUAAUGUUUGUAAGGUAAAUAAAAUAAAUAUAUGUCCUUAGAAAAUAAAAAGAUGUUUUAUUUAUUAAUUUCAUAUAAAUUAAAAUAGAAUUCCUUUUAAUAAAAUAAAUAUAUGCUCUUUUAAGACUUUAACAUAUUCUUUUUUUAUACACUAUUUUCUAUUAGUUGAAAUUAAUUAUUUUAUCUCCAUUUUUAUUUAUAAGACUUUUAAAAUGAUAUUUAUUCUAUUUUAUAAAACUCAAUGUAUAAUAUUUCGUAUUUAUUUAAAAAUUGGGUAGCGUGAUAUGGUAUGGAUACGGUGACAAAUAAUUAACAUUAACAAUGGCAAAUUCAGUGCUGGCAUACACGUUCAGCUUUGUCUGAAUCUAGCGCUGGUCAUAUCUAGCAUGUGUUUUUAAGACAAGUGGAUGAUACUUCAACUAGCGCUGUUCGUAUUAGUUGGUUCAACCAUAAUGGCAUAUUUCAAUACAUUGGAAUAAAUAACUACUUUAUAAAUUAACAAUACAUCCAACUUGCUGAAUCAAAGAAUAUUAAAUAUUAAUCAAUUGUCCUCCUCUUACUACGGACAUGGCUAUAUAUAAUGUUGAAGAGCAUCAAGUUUUGCACUCACAACAAACCAAAAAAACAGAGCUAGCUAGCUAGACUAAAAUGGCUGAAACUGCAGUGUCCUUGGCUGGUCAGCAUGCGCUUCCAAAAAUAUUGGAAGCUGUCAAAAUGCUGAGAGAUCUCCCAAAGGAAGUUAGAGACAUUACAGAUGAACUUGAAAGCUUUCAAGAUUUCAUCAAUGAUGCUGAUAAAGUGGCUGAAGCUGAACAAGAUGAUGGAAGGCGUCAUAGAAUAAAAGAAAGGGUGAUGCGGCUGAGAGAAGUAGCUUUUUGCAUGGAAGAUGUCAUUGAUGACUAUAACAUCUCCUGUGAGGAUAAGCAACCUGAUGAUCCUCGAUGUGCAGCUUUACUAUGUGAGGCUGUUGCCUUCAUCAAAACUCAAAUCCUUCUCCUUCAAAGUGCAUAUAAGAUUCAGGAUGUAAAAUCCCUUGUUCGUGCUGAAAGAGAUGCUUUCCAAAGCCAUUUUCCAUUAGAGCAAAGACCAACCAGUUCUAGAGGAAAUCAAGAUGGAAGAUGAGGUUGUGGGGCUUGAUGGCCCUAGAGGUAUAUUGAAAAAUUGGUUGACAAAGGGAAGAGAAAAACGCACUGUCAUAAAUUGGUUGACAAAGGGAAGAGAAAAACCACUCUUGCCAAGCAAGUUUAUGACCAGGUGCGUAACAAUUUCGAGUGCCAUGCGUUGAUCACAGUUUCUCAAUCCUUCUCUGCUGAAGGAUUGCUGAGGCAUAUGUUGAAUGAGCUUUGCAAAGAAAAAAAGGAGGACCCUCCCAAGGAUGUUUCUACCAUCGAGUCGUUGACAGAAGAAGUCAGAAACCGCUUGCACAACAAGAGGUAUGUUGUCUUGUUUGAUGACGUAUGGAAUGGAAAAUUUUGGGAUCACAUUGAAUCUGCUGUAAUUGAUAAUAAAAAUGGAAGUAGGAUAUUAAUCACAACCAGGGAUGAGAAGGUUGCAGAAUAUUGUAGGAAAUCAUCAUUUGUUGAGGUGCAUAAGCUAGAAAAACCUUUAACUGAAGAAGAAUCUUUGAAAUUGUUCUGUAAGAAGGCAUUUCAGUAUAGUUCCGAUGGAGAUUGUCCAGAAGAACUUAAAGAUAUAUCUCUUGAAAUUGUUAGAAAGUGUAAAGGUUUACCUCUAGCAAUAGUGGCCAUUGGUGGUCUUUUGUCUCAAAAAGAUGAAAGUGCACCUGAAUGGGGACAGUUUAGUCGAGAUCUAAGUUUAGACUUGGAGAGGAAUUCUGAGUUAAAUAGUAUAACAAAAAUUUUAGGUUUAAGUUAUGAUGAUUUGCCGAUCAAUCUCAGAUCAUGUUUAUUGUAUUUCGGAAUGUAUCCGGAGGACUAUGAAGUUACAUCUGAUAGAUUGAUUAGACAGUGGAUAGCUGAAGGGUUUGUCAAACAUGAAACCGGAAAAACAUUGGAAGAAGUUGGGCAACAAUAUUUAUCAGGGUUGGUCCGUAGAAGUUUGGUGCAAGUAUCCUCAUUUAGAAUUGAUGGCAAAGUUAAAAGGUGUCAUGUUCAUGACUUAAUACACGACAUGAUCCUUAGAAAAGUCAAGGAUACAGGAUUUUGUCAGUAUAUUGACGGGCCUGAUCAAUCUGUAUCAAGUAAGAUUGUUCGACGCCUGACAAUUGCAACCGAUGAUUUUAGUGGAAGUAUAGGAAGCUCACCCAUUCGGUCAAUUCUUAUCAUGACAGGAAAGUAUGAAAAAUUAUCUCAAGACUUGGUAAACAAAUUCCCUACAAAUUACAUGGUACUGAAGGUACUUGAUUUUGAAGGUUCUGGUUUACGUUAUGUUCCUGAAAAUUUGGGGAAUUUAUGCUACUUGAAGUAUUUAAGCUUCCGGUAUACAUGGAUAACAAGUCUACCAAAAUCCAUUGGCAAGCUCCAGAAUUUGGAGACCUUGGAUAUAAGAGACACAAGGGUGUCUAAGAUGCCAGAGGAGAUUCGUAAGCUUACUAAGCUACGUCAGCUUCUGUCUUAUUAUACGGGUUUAAUUCAAUGGAAGGAUAUUGGAGGCAUGACAUCCCUACAAGAGAUACCUCCAGUGAUUAUAGAUGAUGAUGGAGUGGUCAUUGGAGAGGUAGGAAAGCUAAAGCAGUUAAGGGAACUGUUGGUGGUAAAAUUUAGGGGAAAACACGAAAAGACUUUGUGUUCCGUAAUAAAUGAGAUGCCACUCUUGGAGAAACUACAUAUUUAUACAGCUGAUUGGAGUGAAGUAAUUGACUUGUACAUUACGUCACCUAUGUCUACACUUAGGCAGCUUGUCCUAUGGGGGACGUUAACAAGGUUGCCAAAUUGGAUUUUACAGUUCCCAAAUCUUGUGCAACUGUCUUUGGUGGGCUCCAAGUUGACUAAUGAUGCAUUCAAUUCACUAAAAAAUAUGCCAAGGUUGUUGUUCCUGGAUUUAAGUUACAAUGCUUAUGAAGGUGAAACUUUGAAUUUUCAAGGUGGAGGGUUUCAGAAACUAAAGCGACUGCAACUCAGAUAUUUGGAUCAAUUGAAGUGCAUCCUUAUCGACAGAGGAGCACUGUGUUCUGUGGAAGAAAUUGUUUUACAAGACCUCUCCCAACUCAAAACAGUUCCCUCGGGAAUUCAACACUUGGAGAAGCUUAAAGAUCUCUAUAUCAACUACAUGCCAACUGAAUUGGUGCAGCGCAUUGCUCCUGAUGGAGGAGAAGACCACUGGAUCAUCCAAGAUUUGCCCCAUGUACGUAUUUGGAGCAGGGGUGCUGAAGAACCUUCGCAUAUAUUCGGCAGAAGUCAUCACUAAGAUGCGUCCAAAUUUGAAAAUUGAAGGUGCCUCUUUUUCACAUCUAUAACUUUGUAGAAUGACAUUCGUGGCCUUUUUCUUUUCUUCAAUAAAAAAUGCAACCAUUAUCUAAUUCCUAAAAGAAUUACUUUUGCCUCAUUCUCUCUUCUAGUAUUUGCUUCAUUUUUCUUUCUCUAC